rnacentral:lncRNA from 1 species
GAACGACUAAAAAAGAAGACAUUUCUCAGUAAAAGCAGAUUUUUCUUUUUUUAUACAUGUGAAUGCCUUUGAGUGUGUUUGUGCUUGCCUCUCAAAGUUGGCCACUCAUUAGUAGAGAGCUUUUGGAGGAAGUGGUGGUUACCGAUGACUCAGCCAAGCCAUGCAUUUCAUUCUCUCGCUCCCCACUCUCUCUCUCUCUCUCUCCUCUCUUUCUGUCAUCUGCUUUUCUGUCUACAUUUUAUUCAUUCCUCUUUCCCUCUCUAGCCCUUUUCAUUUUCUGUUCUCUUGGUCUCCUUUCCCUUUUCUUUCUCUCUUUUUUCCUGACUCAUCCUUGACCUUUGGGGGGUUAUUUCAGUGUGUGUGUGUGUUUUCUGUAUGGAAAUGUGUCUGUGUGAGCAGCAUACUCAGCAAUGUGUGUGGGAAGAUAACUGGCUUCCUUCAGAGUGAUUAAAACAUUCCUUCUCUCUUCUUUUUCCUGUCUUCUCUCUCUUUCGCAGCCUUUCAUAGUCCUCAGUGAAGACUUUCUGAUGAAGAGGAGGAUGAAGACCGACAAACUGGUGAGUGGAGACAACCCCACAUCAUUUUCUUACACUUUGGCUGGCAUUUAUCAGGCUCAAAUUGAAAGCAGGUCAAAGAAACUCUUUUUGAGUUUGGAUACUGGGGCAUGAGGAAAGUGCGCUGUUGCUCUAGUUUAAGCUUUCCAAUAAGAGAGUUUAGUUAAACGGACCAUUUUCUAGAUUUCAAGUGUUUAUUUAAAAGACUGAAGAAGAUAGAGGGCUACACAGCAGGAUGAAUGCGAGAGCCAGAUGGAAAAUAUUGCAGAUGUUUUCCGAUUUGACUUUUAUAACAAACCGAAACGCUUUUUGAUUUGUCUUUUAAGUAUGUUUCCGUAUCUUUAAAGAUUCUGUAAAGCAGUUAAUCAAUCCCUUUUGAUGGUAAAUAGAGUAUCAUACAGGAGUUUCCUCAAAGUAGGAAAUAGCAUAGCAUGUGAGAACUGUUUCCACCCUGCAGUAAUGGGAAAAAAAAAACAAAUAGAAACCUUUACAGAAAAAAGCAACCUUGAGGACGAUUGCGUUGAGUUUUUGGCAGCUGAUAAGUUGCGGCAAAUAUCGACUAAAUUUGGCACGAGGCAAGUUGCCCGCUUCUCCAAACUUAGUCAUGCAAUUAUGGUGUGACACACUGACCGCACCUGUGAAGGGCUGAAGUGAAAGUAGUGGUGUUCGAUAUCCUGAUGAUAUUGCAGAAUGUGCUUUGAUAGAAAAAAGUCAUUACAGAAUUUAGAGGCAUUUUAAUCUCUCAGAUCAAUCUGUGUACAGGACUGAGUCUUUGUGUGACGUUAGUGGGAGUUUCAUAAUCUGCACUGAGGCAUGUAACACAGGAUCUUUGAGUGGUAUGUUAUAUCUGCGUACAUGAGACAAUAACACGUUCUUUACUGCAAUCUAGAUUAAAAACUUUGUUUAGUCAGACAUUUGCUUCUUGAGUCUGCACGACUUGCUUGUCCACUUUCUUCUUGUUUAAGAUGUUCGAUCAUACAUAAAAACGUAUGAUUGUUUUAAAUGAUACACUAAUUGUGAAAAUCAGGUACAAUACUGAAACCACUUCUUGGAAUAAAAGUUAGUGGUUAGAUAUAGCCUACUGAUUUGGUUGCAUUAAAUUGAUGCGAUACAACUAGUAAACAUUAGCUACCGACAUUGGUGCAUAGCACAUUUUUUGAUUGGCUGAUAGGAAAAUACUGACCCAAAUACUGAUGUUUAGCUAAUCUAUUGAUGCAUACAUAAGUUUUGUCCGUGGCAAUCACAGUUUUUUCGUCUAGGUCCAUUAACUUGCACUAGCAUGCUUCUUUAGACAUGAAGGCUCUCCAUGUCUUUAUCUUGUAUCUGAGAAUAUCAGCUCGACUCACAUUUUCCACCUCCUUGCUACUCUGGUGUGCAUCAGAUGAUUUGACAAUGGUUUCGGCACAUUAGAUUUAUUGCUGCAUCAGCGAGUCUGAUUAGAUCUUUGUGCCUGACUUGUCAUCAUAUGUAUGUAGUCUGAUGUAUCUGUCUUUCCGUCUGACAGUCUAACACUUAGCUAAUAUAACUCUGAAACCAUCGCCCCAGCAGAUCAAAGGGAACUAGAAGUUAAUUUUUUUCCAUUUUUGUUCAUUCCCUAAAAGCUUUUUACUGGACUGUGAACUGAAGAAGAUGUGAAACCGAAAUUUUGUCCUAUUCUUGGCUGAAGUGUGACUUUAGCUGCCAAACAUUUUGGCGUCUCUUUUGUCGUGUUUUUCACUUUAUGAUGUACCAAACUUCUGCAGGCGGGACAGUUUAGCACCAGAUGUAUCACUUCUACUACAGAGCCAUGCUAUAGUUUGGCAUCUUCAGAAGAUAUAGGCUGGAUGCAGCAUAUAUUGCUUCCAAACCUGUAUUAAUGGUUCUUUCCCAGUUGUGUAAUCCUCAUACCAUCACCAAUGCUGGCUCUUCUGUCGCCAUCAUGUGGCAUUGCUGUCUUGAGCCAUCUCUUGAUCUCUUCGAGUACUGCAUGAAAAUUGUGAUAUGCGUCACCAGUGGCGGAUUUAAAGGUGAGGAGAGGAGCUGAUGUGAUUGGUGAAAACAGGUCUUGGCAGUGUUAAACCCUCUCCACGCCUUAUCCCCUCCCUCUCUACUACUUAUGCCGCUGGGAGGAGCUGAGUUAGGGAGGGGGGAUACUUACGCCGGGCUGUGCCGCUCACCAAAAUACCAAAGUAUGCUUGGGCACGCCUUUUUGGCACGGCAGACCUGACUUAUGCCCUUCUGCGCCAUGCUGCCGGCAAGGCACGAAAAUAGAGCCCAUUCAGUUGGCCUUUGGCUUUGUGCCGAGAUUUCUCUAGAUUCUUUGAAUAUUUUAAAGAUGGAUGUUACUGAUUUUACUCUAUAGAUGAUGAAAUACCCCAAACUUUGGUAGUUUUAUGCUGAGAAACAUUUUGUUUCUGUUUAACUGCCAGAUCACACAGUCUCUCACACAGAGCUCAAUUACUUGUAAGUUGGAGGACGUUCAUCUUACUGUUCACACAACUUUUCCAGUGAUUUGCUGUCCCCACCCCAACACUUGUUGAAAUGUUUGGCUGGAGUCAAAUUUAAACUCUGUUUUAUCAAAAAUAUACAUAGCAUACCGACUUUUCUGAAUUGGGGUUGUACAUGUAGAGGGAAACUUAAAUGCUCUUUAGCAAAAUAAAAUUUAGAAAAUUAAGAGACACCUCAUGGCUAAUUUUUUUCUGUAGAUUUGUAUCGUCAAUGUCUUUUAAUCUAUUUGGAAUUGAAACUUGUAAAACCAAGAGCACUACAUUUGGUGCUGUGGUGGAUUUUGAGCUCUGCUGUUUUGUGGCUGUAGGCCUGUGUGUGUCUGUGUGUCAGCUCAUGUGCAAUUGUUCUCAAAAAUUCACCAGAGGCCAGUUCAUUUUAGUCUUUCAUGCAUCUAAAAUUUAACUUUAGCCUGGGAGUUAUUUUGCUGUCUUACAAUGGUUUAUAACAGGUUACAACAUCUGCUGUACUAUAAGAAGAAAUGGCCACAUGACAUUAGAUUUUACUUUACAACAUAUCUUUCAAUGGACUGAAGACACAAAGAGCUUUCCUCCCUUAGACUCAGGAAAAACAAUUCUUAUUUGACAGACCAUCUUCAAACAAUGUUGAUGAGCAUAUGAAUGAAAACUCAGAUGUUUUCGUGUUAUCAGUUGUAAGUCUUAAUAUUAAGGGUAUUUUUAACAUCUUGAUGCAUUUUUAUUGAUCAGCAUCUGAGAGGACAGAGAACAUAUUGAGGGAAUACUAAGCUUCAACAACAUUGCCUAAUUGGUAGAGCAGACACAGCAAGACAACAUCUAGCAUUAGCAUUAGCUAACCAGCAAAUUUUACUGUUAAUUUGGAAAUUGCUCCAAGUCUAUAUCACUUACGAAGUGUUAACCCUUUCAAAUAAGUACGAAGUUGAUUCUCUACAAUGCAAAGCAAGCUUGGAUGUGGUGCAAUGCUAACAUUAGUUGUUGGUUAAACUCUAAUUAGCCUAUUAAAUAGUCAAACUUUCGAACGUUUUACUGUAACCAAUCAACAGGACAGGUCUAUGCCAUUGACAGUGUUGACCUAUUAACUUUCUUAUCGGGCAGCAAAGAUCCCACAGGACAGGACUGUCCACAGCAGAGCAGAUUCCAGUGUUAAUCUGAAACUGACACUGAUAUUUCUAGAAAGUUCAGGGACUGUUACGUUAAUGUUCAUCAUGCUUUCUCUUGCUGUUUUCUCUACUCUGCUAAUCUAAAAGAGCCCCAUUAAUCAACUUAGCUGUCAAUCAAGACCUAACAUUCUAUUUUUUUUUAGAAAAAUAACUCGUUAACGCCUCUGGAAACAAAUUUUGAACACAAAUCAUUAUGAUAAGAGCUAACUGAUGUGACAGAGACCAUUUUUGGGGAAGCUUUUAUUUGAUGCAUAUUUUGAAUUACGGGUUUAUCGAUGCUACAUUUAUGGAGGGGGCGCGCUUUAUGGCCUCUACUGCAGCCAGUCACCAGGAAAAAUUGUAAAUAUUUUGGCUUCACUCUUGGGGAAUUGGUGCGUUGCCUAUUUUUAUACAGUCUAUUGUCUGAACAUUUUCCCUCUGAACUCUGAUUCCUUUUCAAAAAACUGCUGAUAUCAAACCCUAUCAAUGAUCUCCUCAUUUUCAGAACCACAGGUGAUUGGUUGCCGGUGAACCAAUUUACAGAUGAUGCAUUAACUUAAAUCUGUGUCUUCACCCAACCAUGUAAUAGUUGUUGGAUUACCUUGACCUUCAUAUAUGUCAGCGCUGAUAAGUAGCCAGCUUUGAGAUUUGGUUUAAAGAUGAAGAAAAGGAAAAAUUGCAGCUUCAGGAGGACAUUUUUAUAUAUUUGACACGUCUUUGAUAUUUCUUUGACUCUCCGUCUUGCCCUUUAGUCUUUUUCUCUCUCCCACACUCUUCAUAAUGUUAUAUAAGUGGUAUCAGUUUCCAUACCUUAUCAUAAGAGGAUUUACACACACACACACACCCACACACACAGUACACUCACACCCACAUAUGCCAGCCCUGUUCCGUCAAAGCUCCCCUGAUUUACGGUAAACGUGUGUUUUUGUCUUUUGUGGGUCUGGAUCAAGUGAUGCAGUUAGUUUUGGUAUCAAUUCUAUGCAUCUCCACCACUGAGAGAGACUGAGAGCAGUGCAGCAUGGGUAGGUGUGGGAGGGCUAUGACAGAGAUGACUCAGCGUUCUGUUGCCGGGUAGAGACACGCCAAACACUCUUCAACCCCCAUACAUCUAAAAUAAAAAAAGAGAAAAAAACUUGCGUGUCUGAUGUGGCUGUCCUUCAUAUCACAGCCUCGAGUAAAUACAGUUCUUAUCUCAUCUGAAUGUGGAUGAUAGUUUUGCAUGACAGCAACCAUGCCUGAGCUAGUUCUGUGAAAAUAAUGUUAUUGAUUAACAACAAAACCAGGUAAAAAGGACAUUAUGUUGUUAUGUAAGGGGUAAAGUUAGGAGGAGAGCAAACAACAGGAGACAUGAGCAAAUUUGGGCCAGAUCUAUAAAUGUAUGCAUGCUUUGAAGUGUGCAUUUAUGUACUUGUAUGAGCCUAGUACUGGUUUGAAUCAAACUGGUUUUUGUUUGUCUAAACGUGAAACCAUGACAAUGUCCUUAAAAUGCCUUCUCACUGUAGAGAAACAUGAGUAAGUUACCUGUAGUUUUUCGAAUGAGGGGUUGAUUUACCGCAUAUAGAGGUAGACAGACUCAUAUUAUGAUUCAGGUUGUUUUUCGUAACUAGUUUAGUAAAUUACCUGAGAUUAUAACUGUAAAUCAUUGUGAGUUUUCUGUACAUGUCGUAGGUCCGGAGACUGUGUGUGCAUGCGUCUGUUCUCAUGAGUAAGAUAACAGGUUUUAGAGAGGUAAAUGUCACAGCUAAACAGCCAGUCAAAGUGAAAACAGUAGUGGGUCACUUUAGUUGUGUGGGCGUGCGUAGGUGUGUGUGUUGUGUUGCACCUUGACUCAUCACAAAUCUACGCUCUGAGAUACAGUAAAUGACUGAGAACUCUGGUUAUUACUCAGGGGUUGUAAGAGAAGUCACAAAUGACAACGACGUACACAAGAACUCAUAUUAUAUGUAAAGUAGUUGAACUUGUUGCCUGACAUAUGUUACUAUUCCUACCCUCUUUGGGAUAACAAGAAUAUUUCCUGUAUUUUUAGGUUUUCUUAUAGAGAAAUAACAGAAAUGGGAAACAAUUAUUUAGAGGAUAGUAAGAGUAUCUUACAGCUGAUGAUUUUAUUAUCUCUCUUUUUUUAAUGAAGUAAAGACAACUUUUUGGUGAUAACAAGCUCUACAAACUCACUGUUCCCACGCAGCAUAAGCAAAAGUUCAUAAAUUGAUCAUUUGUAAGGCAUCAUAACAAAGUUGGCUUGAACAAACUUAUAUUUGUUCUCCCUUGGUAGGUCUUUUGGCAUUUUUAUUGCCAAAUAAUCUGAAAAUAGUUUAUAAAAUCACCAUUUUCAUUCCAAAUUUUGUCCAGUAAAAGCUUCUGAAAUGAAGGGGCCUGGGGUUUGCCUUUGUCACAUAAUGAUACUCAACUGAAUAUCUUUGACUUUUUGUUGAUGACUCAGCUCUGCUCUGUUUUAUACAGCACCUUUCACCCAAACACGCAGCCUAAAGAGCGUCACAUUAAAACACCUGUGUUGAUAACUUCAGCACCUGUCAAUCAUAAAAGAAUGCAGCCCCAAGUCCAACACAAAAUAAAAGACAGAAAGUGAGCAUAGAAAUAGACAGCAAUAGAAAAAUACUAAUAAAAGACCAACCAUGAAAGAAAGAGCUAUUUAUUUUGCCAUUGUCAAUAUUUAUGGGCAACACAGUUGAAAAAAUAAAUAUUGAAAGUCAGCAGAUGAAUGAAUCUUCAGAUCUUUUAAAAACAGGCGGCAGAUCUCAUGAGACACAGAAGCAGGCGGAAAGCUGCAGGACUUGUGAAAAGAUUGCAUAUGACGUGUGUGUAGUGAUGGCAGACUUGCUCGAAGCUUUUAUGUCGUGUGUGUUGUGUCUUUUACUGCAAGAUACUAGGGCCAAGGCUUACAAUUGUUUUGUGAAAUUGUAAUUCGGACAUUAUCUAUACAAUAAAUAUGAUGUUAUUUAUGUUGGUGUUUUAGUUUCUUGUUUUGUUUUUACCUGUCUGUUAAACUUUAUUCAUGAAACAUUUUUGAAUCUGAAUUGGCUUAAACUUUCGAGCAGCUUGUGGAUUGACAAUGUUUGAUGACGUUAAAUGAAAACUUUUCUCCUUUUUUUUGCUCUCAGUUCAUCGUACAAUAACAAAGCAUUGUCAGGACUCUUGUAUGGGUUGUGUUCGAGGAAGUAUUAAGCCUUUACCUAAAACUCAAUGAAAGUGGUAGCCUAAUUCUGUGUUCAACAUGUGAUUUGAAUAAAUGAACAGGGUCUGUACAUGUUAGAAAACUAUUAUUGACCAUAAAUAUCAAUCUAAGUGUGGUACUGAAGUGACUUUGGUCAUGGUGUAGCAGGCUGAUUUUGUGUCCUGUUGGUUUCUGGGCAGAGUUUGACUGCUUCCUCCUCUUCAACAUUCCUCACACUGUUUGCCUGACUGUGGGUAAACAUCUGUCUGUGGGUGUGAAAAACACCGACACCGUGUAGUAGACUGUCUGACAUGACGCUCGGUAAAUAACACUAUAUAGUAAAAAUAUAGAAAACAGUGACGAGCACAAACAACGAUUGAUGCAGUCAAUUUCUGUCUCCACUAGAGGGCGGCAUCGUCUCAUAGAACUCAACCUGUUGACUCGUGCAGUGUUUAGCCCUGCUACAAUCUUUUGAAUUUACUCUGCUGACUGUAAAACACAUUUAGCUUCAUUUUCAAUGACAGUUUUCGACGUUUAGUGUUGAUAUUUCGAUGUAACACAAAUUUUAAGUGAAACCAGCGACUACAAAUCAUAGUUUAACAUAGAGUCUUUGUUUGCUUCAGUGGGAGCUAGUAUCUGUUGAGUGUUGAGAAGGACACAGCGGUUAUCAGGGAAACACCCAAGGCCGCAUAUAAAGAGAAAGAACCACCUGAUUGUACCGAUAAUAUUAGCCUGCUUGUGGUCUAAAUGGUGUAUCCAUUUUAAGUAUCACUAAAAUUGACUUUAUUUUGUACUUGUUGUGUUAACUACUCCGUAAAGCACUCAUAGCUAACGAUAGGCCUCCUUCAAACCACUGCUUUAUCUCACAUCUGCAUCAAUGACACUUUGGUAACUAAAGGGUGUACGUUCAGUAGUCGUUUUGGUCAUUAUUAAUAUAUAGUUUUGCUUUGUAAUAACUCUUAACGGGAAUAAUCGUGUCUCCUAUCGUGUGGCUUUUGUGAGCCUGCAGAUAAAAUACGUAUUUUAUUUUGUUUGCACAGAUGGGUUGGAUUUUUACCGAAACAAUAAUGCAGAAAAAAUGACACAAAAUCACGGUACUAAGAUAUUAGACUUACCCUGUAUUUAGCCUACUGAAAUAUAUAUAUAUAUAUCAGCCUCACAUAUAAAAUGUAAAAUGUUUGUUGAAAAAGUAAAAUCUAAAGGGUAUUAAAAAAAACAUGAACAAGACUCUUAAAAAUGAUGUCACCUGGAGUUUUUCUCCUUCCAAAAAAUCGGGAAAAAAUUGCAAAAAUCCUCGUUUUUUAUAUCCUAUAAUACGCAUGAAAGUUCUUUAUUCCAUCGUCUUUUCCUUCACAGAUGUUGGAUCUAGACUCAGUUGAAGCUUCUUAAAAUGACUCAAGAUUAGUCACAAGAUAGGCUUACACUUAUUCAUCAGAGGCCUGUGCUUGAUUAGUAAUCCCGCAAUGACACUCUGGCUGUGAUUUCUAUCUUUUUGUCUGAGUAUUGUAUUUUCGCUUUUUGUUUUGCAAAAUUUUAGUUUAGACCUGAAAAAAGAUGUCUGCUGAUCCUCUGCUGUCAAAACGCACUAAAAUGUCUCCGCAGUUCAUUAGAAAAGUCGAAGCAGUGUUUAGGAAAGAAAUGUUACUUUACUGUGCGUCCGUGAAUUAUCCGCAUUUUUCCUGAACCGUUGCGCUCAUUCUUGACGCAGCGCGAGGCUAUUUUGCAGCGAGUUUGCGCUUUUUAUUACUGCUGUGUACCGUAUUUAGCCUACAUUUCUCACUUCUGUACUUAUAAUCGUCUAUUUCAAGGAAAAAACUGAUUGAAUCUUAAAGUAUUCCUCGUGUAAAACAUCGAGCUCCAGUGAUUUUGUUGCGUUGUGAGUAUUUCAUAAUAUAGACCUAAAAUAAACUAGACACUGGAAUAUUUUACACCCCCGUGCUUUGAUAAAAAAAAAAUAGCAGGCUAAAUUGAUUAAAGUAAGAUAUUAAUCUUAAGAAGAGGGGAGGAACACCCUCACAUGAUAUGAAAUGACUGCAGCAUGUUGUUGACUGGUGUUUUAUUUCUCUGUAAACAUAAAAACAACAAGGAGCUGAUAAUGCAAAUGUCACAGAGGCUUCCUGUGUGAUGAGAAGGUAGACAUUUGACAUUUUGGUGUUGUUUUUUUCCUCCUCACACUUUCACACAUAGAAUCAUAAAGCUCACUCAAGCAGGGAUAAAUAAUAAUUAUCAGCAAUCUUUACUUUUCUUAAAGAUAUGAAGAUAGAGAGUGACCUAGAUCAAUGCAAAACAUUAGAUCUACUCGUAUAUCUAUUACUUUUAUUUGAAUAUGUUCAAGUUGAGUUUUUGAGUCAGAUUGGCAGAUUUAUUCAAUCCAACCACAAAGAGACCAAAGCAGGUAGAAUACUGUUCAGUAAUCUGAUUAUUAUAUUUGUACAAUAAUUCUCAGUCACAUUUAAAUACUUGAGUCUGCAGGGCUGAUAAAUGCCUCCUACUUAACUUCUGAGUCAUGCCGCUCCAUGAAAGAGAAAUGUGGCAUCAAGUCCUAAAACAUCUUCAAACGAGCAGCUGAUUGUGAAAACAACAUCAGGCUUUGAAUUUCAUUUUCUUUGAACUUUAAAUAUUUUAAGUUUCACAUCUUUCUCUUUGUGUGAGUGUGUUUUCAUGUUUCUGAGUCACCUGCGGUCUCGGGGAAGAUAAUAUUCACCCUGCUGCUGCCUCUCACUUUAAGUCAGCCGUUAAAAUCUAUUUAAAUAUUAGAAAUGCUAAAGGUUAAAUACAUGCUUUCUGGAGGCAGCAUACUACAGACAUCUACUGAGCCACCUGACACCUAAACAGAUAAGACCUGUUACUUUGUGGGUUGUGUAAAAUGAAUGGUGCAGAUAAACAAAAAAAAAAACACAUCAUUUAGGAGUUACUGUUAUGGAUUUUAAUGUUAAGAUUUAAAAACUUGAUUUUUAUAAUUUACAAAUGAUUUCAUGGUUAUUUUACAAUUAAGUGAUUAAUGUGAUGAUAAUUUUGUAGAGCCCACAAAAUCCCUACAUAAAAUUGUGCACUUUUAAAAGAAAAAUAAGGUGGAAACAAAAAAGGAGACACAAAAGUAGCUUUGACAGUGUGUGUAUGUCUCAUUGAGAAGUGAUAAACAUGAACUUUGUAUGAGGCUGCUCGCAUACUCAGGUACUGUGUCACAGACACGUUGUUUUGUUUUAAGUUUGUGGUCAUUUCGGUGGCCGAUAUUUAUGUUGUUGUAAAUUUUAUGAUAUAAUAACAACAGAAGAAUGUGUAGUUAUAACAUAUCCACCUUGGGCCUCUGACAGACUAAACAGUACAAUAAAUCCUCAUUUGAUACAGUUUGAACAAAAGCUGCAUGUGUUUUAGAUUUUACAUUGUGAGGAUAUGUAGCAGGAUGGCUGUAAGCCUGUUGGGCUGAGAUAGUUUGAGCUAUGUGUACCUGUUGAACGAGUAACAGAGAAGAAAGCUGUAGCUACAGGGCACACAAACUUUACAGUCAGAAAUGUGUGAAUACUGAGGAAUGAUGUUUUUUGCUCGCAGUGGGAUUUCUGUCUCUAUUUCUGUGAAACUGAACUCACGGUGUUAAAUACUUUGGAUGAAAGUGACGUCUUUGUCUUCGCUUUUGCUUCCCUGAUUGAAAAUCUCUUAUCUCUUAUCUACAGUUUGAAUCAUGGAGGAUUUCCAUUUAAACCGUAAUGAUAAGAAAAAGACAACCGCUAAAUUAUUGUGGUUAUGAGUCUCUCUCCGAUGCAUUAGGCUGGAGAUCUUUAUUUAGCUGUGGGGAGACACGUCUACAGGAUGUAUUCGUGACUAUGGGGCGUUUACAGCCCUCCUCCACACUGUAAAUUAAAGAGCAUUAUUUACACUAUGUGGAGCUAUAUCAAUCAAUCAAUCAGUUAGAGGUACAUACAUAAAAUAUGUUAAUGUUUGACUUUAGAUCUGCUCUGCUUUUUCAUAUGCAUUUCUUUAAGAAGCAUCUACUGUACUGGUAGUGUGUAAUAAAGUGACAGCUCGUGUUAUUCUCAGGGGGUACACAAGGUACCUUUAUGUCUAAGAAAAACACCACAGGUAGUUAUUUUAUUCAAGUGUGUUCAGUUCAUCAGUCAUUUGAUUCACAUUAAACUACAGUUUUAAAACAGCCAUGUGUAAAAUAAAGAUCCAACUAUCUGAGAUUGUAAGCUUCAAGCAGGAACUGGUUUUAAUUUUCAAUUAUGUUUGAAUCAUUCUGUGUUUCCCUUUACAUAAUUAGAUUUCCACUGCAAUUUUUUACAGAAAUACUCAUCCAAAUACAGAGAUCUAAGUGUGAUAUGAUCAGAGUUUCCUGGAGAGGACUCCCAGACUUCUGUCUCAGCAUGUUUAACUGAGCCUGUUAUUGUCUGUAUCAGGAGUUUCAGAGCUAUUCCAAUUCACUAACACCUCGGCCUUCAUUUUCUUUGCAGUUUUGCAUUAAUAUGGCACAGAACUGCACAAGUACAAACUUUAGAAAAGUUUUAAGAGAGUAAAGCAUUGUUAAACACCUGAUUGAAGCUCAGUUAGGAUUUUUACGUCCUAACACUCACAUUUAAACUUACCUCUGUACUAAGGGCUGAAGACAGUGCUGUUUUCAGUUACCAACAUGUAUUUCUCAAUGCUAAGUUCACUUUUUCUGCUCCCUACACACAGUCAGCUCAUCAGGUGUCAGAACGACUGUGUUAGCAUUUUUUGUUGCCUUGAUGCGUUAAGUAACCACACCAUUCAGGACCGAUAAGCAUUUUUUUCAGAGGAACUCCCCCAACAGCACUGCUCCGUGAACUACUCACAGCUGCAUUUGCCAAAUCUGUUCACAUCUACAAAACAAGAGGAAAAUAAAUCAUAUGUGACACUGACAGGAACUAUCCUACUCAUGAAGGUGACCCUUUCCCUCCACCUAACUGUGUGAUUCACAGAGGACUGCACCAGAACCAAUAACAACAUCACCUUGGAUGCUGGAUGUCUGGUUGUGUCUGCAGAGCAAUACACCAGAUGGGUCAGACACCAAGAAAGAUUCUUUGAGAUGUGGAAGAAAGUCUGAACAGACAAAAGUUGUUUCUGCAUCUGUGACUUUUCUGCAGCUUGUGGAUUUGAACAUUUGAAGAAUUUUUAAAAUCGUGUAGGCUUUGGUAGGUCCAGUUGUUUUUGUGCACUUAGACUUGAAUUUUUGAGCAAUUUGGGUGUCAUAAUUUUAAUCUUUUCCCAAAAACACCAUUUGGGAUCUUGUCAAUGCUAGUUUUAAUAAUGAAAAGACUAAGAGCUGAAAAAUACUCUGGGGCAGCAGUGGCUCGGCUGCUGGAAUCGGUCAUCUCACAAAAAGAAGGUUGGGGGUUCGAUUCCAGAGCUGUGUGCUGCAGGGUCCUUGGAUAAGACCUGCUGGCUGUGCCCAGUGGUGUGUGAAGGGAAUUAGUUGUCUGAAUGUUACAUCGCUUUUGAUAAAAAGUGUCUGCUAAAUGACAUUGUAAAAUAAAAUUGUAAACAGAAAUAGGAAGAAGACAUGAAUUGCUUGGAAUGAGCAGAAGAAAUCAGCCCACACAGUCAGAGAAUUUACUCUUAAGUGUCUUGAAAUGAGAGCUGACAUCUGUGAAUCCAUGAUCCCUAAGAGUUUUUUUUACUCUCCACAACCUUUUUAGCAAUGUUGCUGGCAUACGAUACCCUGACACAAGAUAUCUUUCUGGAAAUUAUUGGGUUAAUUCUGGUUCAGAUUAAGCCUUAUGGGAUUUCUUUUCCCAGGAGUAAUACAAAAACACCCUCAGACAUUUGAGGGUUUUAAGAGUUUAUUUGGUCACCUUUCGGCCUUUUCUUGGUAAGAAAGCUGAAGAGUGACAGGAAAUGUGGGGAGUAAAGAGUGGGAGGUGACAUGCAGUGAGGGUUUAUGGUCGGGACUUGAACCAGUGAUGAGGACUGUUGACUCAGUUUGUGGGUUGUACACUUAAAGCUGUUAAACCAACCCGGGCCUCAGAUUAAUGUGCAUGUUUGUUUGUUUUUUUAAACAUGAAGAUAUUUUUAUUCUCAGAGCAUUUGUUGAUAUAGGACAGUAGGUGAGAAAUCACGAAAGGGCAGAGGCUGGGAGUUGCACUUGCAGUAGAUGCAUCAAGGACUAAUGGGCGACUACUGAGCUGGCUGCCCCAACAUUAGUAUGAGUAAAAGAAAUCUCAGCAAAACAGUGUAAGAGGCUAUAAUGUGAUAUAACCCACAAUACAAUUAAAAGACAGUUUUAAACUUUGACAUCUAUGAAUUUUAAUAUUUAAUUAUGAGCAUCAAGCAGCAGCCGUUCAUUCUCAAAGGGACAUUUUAAUAAUCGAUCAACUUCCUUUUAACUGAGGAGAGGAUCUGCACUAAAAUAACCUCUGUAUGCGUGCUGACACAUUGGUAUUAAGCCAGUUAUGUAAGGCCUCCAUGCAAGAGGAUGUUGAAUCAAUAGCAGCAUUAAAAACAAACAGCAACAUCCCGGUGUUUACAUCCGACAGAAAUGGAUUAUCCUUAAACAUCUAGGUCACUUAAAUGGCUGAGUGUUAAGUGACGGCGCACAUUGUUUUGUAGAGAGGAGGUUCACUUGUCUGAUGUUUGUGUCUACUUACUGCUGUUGUGAAGCUUCAUAAGGAAAUGAGGGAAGGAUCCUGCCAUGAAGCAUGUCGGUUAUGGAAAUGAGAGAUGAUUAUCAUUAAGUCAUCCAGUCCCACUGACAGCACACUAACCCACACAAACACUUAGACCCAAAAGCUGCUAACACCCUCAUACCGUGUCACGCAGAUAAACACUCAAGACACCCACAUAUCUUUUGUCUCAACACACGCGAACAUGGACAGUACAUCUUGUUGUCAUAUUAUCCAGCAGAGUGUGUCACUUGCAUGCAGGGAUCUUUGUGAGUCACCUUGACUGAUCAUUUUUAUCUGGUUUGUGUUUUUUGCAACACUUUUGCAUGUCUUUUUCAAGCACCUUAAAAUUGUCCUGACAAAAUCUCUGUGCCUUUCUAACGUUACAGACGAGGGAAAGAAAGGAAACUGGGUGGUGAGAUCAGGGAAUCAGGGAAUGACACCUGGCAAAGGACCUGGGGUGGGAUUCAAACCUGGACCACUCUGAUGGAGGACUGUAGCUGCGUUCGAGUUACUUCGAAAGUCAGAUGUCAGAGCUGAAAGUGACGUAACGCCGGAGUUACCAGCGUUUCAGUUACCGAAAAACAAAAUAGGAGGUGGAAACAAGAUAGCUACAUCUACGAAAGUUAUUUUAGCGCUUGCCUUGUUUUGAUUCGGACAAGGCAAGCACUAAAAUAACUUUCGUAGAUGUAGCCAUCUUGUUUCCGCCUCUGAUUUUGCUAUUUUCUGACUUGGUCACUGAAACGCUGGUAACUAGGGUGUGACGUCAUUUUCAGCUUCGACAUCUGACUUCUGAGGUAACUGGAAUGCAGCAUAAAUCCUCUAUAACUGAGCUGAUCAAAGGUGGUGGGGUCAGUCUAUUGUGUGGAGGAUGGAUGUUAUAAAUGAUGGUUGGGGUGCAGAAGCUCCGCAGGCCGCUCUUACAUCUGUCACCUGACUUGUUAUAAAACGUAAAAUCUUUUGGUAACUUAUCAACUGUUUUAGUUCAAACUGGUGAAUCAUUUUGUGAUUUUGGUGUGAAAUCUGUUUCACAUCCUGGUGCUCUGCUGUGUGACUGGCACACUCGGUGAAAUUGUUUGAAAAAAAAUUCCUCCACUGCUUGUCCAAGAAGCUGCACCAGAAUGACAGGUCACAGAUGGUUAUGCCCCAAACAACAAUGACUGGUUAGGGUGGUCAGUGGCUCAGGAUGGUAAACUACUUCAACAACAUGUUUUUUCAUUUGUGGUCAACCCGAUUUUUCCUUCUGUGCCAUCUGGACUGAAGUCCAUCCUUUCCCGUCAGUGGAUCUGUUUUAUUUUCAGGACAAAGAUAAUGUUCUGCACUUCUUCUGAGUGAGGUUUUCAGGAAGGUUUCAGUGUUUUUGGAUUAUUUAGAGCUGUCUGAACAUGUUGGGGUAUGAACUUUUAUUUUUUAAAGAAUCAAUAUUUCCACAAAAAAGGUGUUUUUCUGGCAUGCAGCAGUGUGAAGAUGAGAGGGUUUAUGUCUUUCUUAAGAGGAUAAAAGACAGUGUAAACAGAGAUUGCCAGAGUCUCUCAAAGAUGAUCAAACUUGACAUCUUUCUAAGUCAUGAAAUAUACAUGCAAGUCUAUUAUGUGUGUUAAUAACAGUGAGUGCUAAUGAUAUUUGUGCUACCAAAGGUCAUAUGUGUAAACUGUCAGUCAGUUCAUUUCAUUCAGUAGGUUGAAUUAAACUGACUGCUGCUUCUGUAUUGGAGCAAACUUGAUCACUGUACAGGCUUUGAGUUUACUUGCAAUUAUUCUCACCUUGACUGAUGAAUCCUGCAUGUGCAAACAUACUUAGUUGGUGCUGUGGGCUCUCAGCUUUUGAAUCAUAUGGUCCAUGACAGAUUGGUCUAUUUGAAGACUUGGGAGUCAGAAUGUGUCAACAGAGAUGAGGGCAGAAAUCUUAAUAAAUCUGUUGGUGUUAAGGUUCUGAAUUUUAGGAUUACUUCCCUUUUAUUAAAUAAAGCUAGCAUGAAAUAUAACUUAUGAUCCGAUUCAGUUAACGACACCAGAGUGUUGGUCAUGUUAUUGCUAAUCAGACAUGACCUGAGAUACCUUUUAAUCUGAUACCGUGAGUGAGUGAGUAAGUGGAAUAUUAACUGUUGUUCUCAUAUUUGCGUCAGAAAUGUCACUUUUCUCUCUGCAGUUUGAUGCAUUUCCUGAUGUUGACAGUAUGGCAUUUAAAACAGAAGAGUGAGACCUUUGAAUGUUUACAUUCAAAGAAAAAAACUAAUUUGAAUAUUGCACACGGCUGCAAACUGCAGGUCCAUGACCUUGUUAUCUUACGAGCCCAAGGAGUCCAAAAAAAUAUGCUUAGUGUAUUUUUACUGACAGAAAAACAGAGGGAGUGUGUUAUGAGGAGGAUGUGACCUUUUACUGACUAUGCUGCAGCCACUUACACGAGCUUUGAGCUUUGCACAUCAUGGGAGAACCAAAAACAGAGGGAUACGACCUUGUUGGUGUAUUUUUAAAUGAUACAGUAUUAUUGCAGUUUGGAGCUCUUAACUCAUUAUCAGCAUUUUUAUUUAAACUGUGAUUAAAUCAUACCAAAAGAAAAUGCCUAAACAUUCACACUUUGCAAACAGAAUAAAAGCUCACACCAGUAACAUUUUUGCUCAAAUUUACACUCAUGGUUGUGUUUGCGGAUAUUUCACAGUCAACUUAGUAAUGAAUUGACAAGCUGUUUAAGUGCAUGAUCGAAUGAGAAACGUUAAGGCUUCCUCAACAUUGAAAACAAGAGGAUGAAAAAAGAAGAAAAAAAAUCACAUUUAGUGCUGAGGGUUCAUGUGAGAAGAGUGUGUGGGCUUUAUUUGGCUCCACAGAUGGCACACACACACACAUACACACACAAUGUUAAAUGUCAACAUUCAGCGUUACGGUUGCCUCCUGACAAACACGUCUCCCUGAAUAGUAAAGCAUGAAACCCACAAACCUUUCUCAGUUUUGUUUUUCAGAAAUUGACAAAGAAAAAAAGAACAGUAAUCUCACCUGACUUUGCUGACUACAUGCAGUGUGUUUCUACCCCCCACCCACACACACCCACACACGCAGAUACUGGCAUACACAUAAUAACCCCUCCAAUAGUCACCUGUUCAUUUAUGAUGGAUUCCCUCAUUAUUGUUCCUGUCUGCAGCCUCAGCGUGUGAGAAAACAACCUGCUCAUGUGAGUUACACCGAUCAUGUGCUGAGCGAUCAUUGUAGUCUGCUCACCGUCUGUCUCUUUACUGAAGCUGACACUAUUAAAGCAGACCACUCCACAGCUGCCGCAAUGUGCAUUUUAAACCGUACUGAGUUCAUGUUUGUUGUGUGUACAAGCACACAGACUAAGACAGAUACAGUUAAAACUAAUUUUCAUCUUACAUUCACCUAUGACUGCUCUGCUUGGAGUAAAUCUUUGUUUGGAGUCCACAGGGACCCUGUUUGUGUUCCUUGUAUGUGAAUUGUGUUAGAUGGAUUAUAAUUGCAGGGGAAAAGUAGUAAAAAUUGUGUAUUCAUGUGGGCGGACGAAGGUUGGACAGGAAAUUAUGUAAUUAUUUUGCAACAGGAUUAGUCUACAAAGCUUUAAACUAAGCAGAGGUUUACUGAAGAAUUUCAGUGGAUUAUCCUUGAUUUACUCUCUUUGUAUCAUCUUUUCUUUCUAAUCAUAUGAACAGGAUUAAAACAACUGAUAUUGCCUUGAAAGCGUCCACUUUUGCCCUCUCUCAAACUGACCGAACAGAGGGUUUUGUGGUUUCAUGUGUCAAUGUUUAACCUCCCUUCAAAAAGGUUUUCAGGACUCUCCAAAAACGUUAGGGUCACUUCAAGGCCAAAAGUGCUAACGUCUAACUCUGCUCCACAAAAAGAAAAUAUCAACAAUACUUCAGUCUAGGGUACCAGCAAACAAAAAACUAUCUGCUCAUUGUGAUUCACCACUAGCAUACUGAUGCUUGCUCCUUUACAGGUGGUCAUUUGUCCAGUAACCACUUCGAAGUAUCGUCCACGGCACAGAGCUGAUGUGGAUUUUUGCUUAGCAUCUCAAUCAGUGGCAUUGUUAGCCAAUGACAGAACCACUCCUUUAUGAUACAGCUAAAACCAGAGCCUCACAGACUUCAUGGAUGAACCACCCAAUACUUGCCAUCUUGAUUUACUGCUGCUCUGCUUUAAAUGACGGUGAAAGCUGCCAGCUGGCAAAUGCAAAACAAGAGAGGGCUGAGGGAGUGACCAAAACGGCAAACAAUUUGAGAAGGACUUCACUCUGAACCACAUUUAUUAUUUUCCCUGUCAUGAUUCAUCUGUUAGCUGGAGAGGACAAACUGUGUCAGUUCCUCUACAGGACUAUACUUUACGGCUGCGAUCUGGCAGAGACGUCUGAACACUCACCUCAAAGCCAGCAGCGUUUUCAUUCUUAUAUUUUUAUUUCAAAUGAUGGAUGGAUUGAGGGAAGUCUGUGGCUUUAAGACUCAAUAAAACUCUUUGAGAAAGCUGCUGCUGCUGCUGGGUUCAACCCUCUUUGCUGACAACAGUUUGAUCAGAAUCUCUCAUUUCGGUAAACUGAGAUGCAAAAAUACAACCUAACUCGAGAUAAGCGUAUCCUUUACAAUACAAGAAAGACAUUUAGCAAAAUUUGUGUAAUAAUCAGCACGCCUCUACAUCAUGUAGCGUGUGUGUAUUGUGCAGUAUUUUUUCUGGCUGUUUUAUUGUAAUCAUCAAAAAGCAUACCCAUCUAUUUAAAAUUGCCUGUCAGAAAAUACAAAGAAUUAAGAGAAAUGUUUUGGAUAUUUCUCACAACUUUCUCACAAAGACAGGUGGGCACAGCUGCAUCCAAAAAAAAUCACUUCUCACAAUCCUACGCUGUGAACUGUCAACAUGAUAAGUGUGAAAAACUGCAACUAAUAACUCCUGUGACUCAUAUUUUCUUCAACUUUUCUUUCUCUUGUCUAAAUCCUCUGCAGCAUCAUUGAGAAGUUUAUUAGAAAGCUGCAUCAAGCUUUCAAAAUCUCACAUCAAAACAAAACAAAAAAAAAAAGAAGAAGAAAAGGCUGGUCCAACUUUAAUCAUGACUUGCAAAUAUUUCAUAACCUUUAGGAUUGAAGUUACACAAUCACUUGGGUGUACCCUGGUAUAUCAUGUGUACUUCUUUAAAAAUAACCCCAAAUGAUGCAACAGAUGCCGGUGUGAAGAUUUGCCCUGUGGGAAAAAAUUAUGAGAAAUGUUUUGUGUGUCUCUUUUGUCAUUUAUGUAUUAAUCUCACAUGUCCUUGAAUACCACUAAGAAUUUUGCAGUAUUUUAACAUGACUAUUUUUAGUCUGUUGUUAAGUGCAUCCUCUACCCUGAAGGUUGUAUGAGCGUUCAUUUAGCUCCCAGCACAAUAAAUAAAAACAAAUCGGCAUUAUUUAUAGCUGUGUUUUUGCACUUUAGGACACAGUGAGUCAACAGUUUUAGAACUUUUAUUUAAAAGUUAGUGAGUGUAUAAGCUUUAUUUUUUUAUUUUUUUUUAUAAAUGCUUUUAUUAUUAAAUCAUCACUCCUGGAGCACAUGUCUAAAUCAGUUUAUUAUCAUUUUUGUUGUUCUCUGAUGGAGCAGCUAUUUUUCGAGGUUUACCACAAGGGGGAUAGUACAAUAAACGCAGGAUUAUUUGGUGCCGACAGCACAGCUGCAUGUCUUACCUCUUCACUGUUGUACUAAAACCACAACAAAGAAUAUCCUUUGUUAUAGCUCUUUGUGUAAUUACUGUAAUUAUUUUCAUACGGUGGAAAACAUCAGAUCACAUGAAAUAUAGUGAGCGAAAAUGAGAGUAAUCUUGCUGUGGGCGUUUUAUAUGGCACCAGAUUUCUAAAUUGGCACAUUAAAUGGAAAUGAAGGUGUCUCAUCUGUAACGUCAGGGAGAAAUGAAUACAAUCACAGAACAUGUUUAGUCACUCUGGUCUGUAGUCUUGUCUUGAAAGAGAGUGCAGCCAAACAUUUUGAAAUGUUGAAUAAAAAAAAUCAAUUUCUUUGACUUCAGAGCAGAAAACUUUUCAUGAAGAAGUUUAUGUUGAUCUUUAAUCAGAUUUUAAAAAGUAUUAGUUCACCGAUAGAUUUAAUUUCUCAUUUUUUAAAAAACAAACAUUUUAUGACUCAAGUGUAGACAGGGCUUUCCUGAAGAAAGUUUUUAAAGAUGAGUUUUCACUCUUAUCAUUGGCUGUGGGUGUGUGCAGUUGAGUGUGAAUACGUGUGUGCGUGAGACCUCUCCCACUUGUGGUUGUCUUGUCUCCCAGACUGUAGGAGGCCUGCAGUCUCUCACAUCAGGGCAACUCUGCAGUGUCUGCAUGCCACCGACACACACACACACACACACACACACACACACACACACACACACACACACACACACACACACACACACACACACACACACACACACACACACACACACACAGCAGACAGACAAACAGACAGACAGACACUGGCUGUGAUGAGAACAUCGUGUGAUAGUUAGUUUACUUCCCACCUGACCUGAUAAAAUCAACUUCUUAUCGUCUGAAGAUGCUGAUAGAUAUUCAUGUUCAAGGAUGUUUGAGCAAAAAGGCUUUUCUUGUAAACCUACAAAGCACAAAAGAAUUUGAUUUACAUGCUGUACUUUCUUUUCACAGUUAAAAUUUGUAGUUUUUUAUGCUCUUACUCACAAUUUUGCACAAAACCUCUUUGUUUUGCUGUGAAAGGCAGAAAGAGCACAUGGAAAGAGAAUCAAAGUGGCCUUUACUUUGCCAAAAACUCCAAAGACCUACAAAGAAGGUCAAAGUUUGAAUUGCUAAUUUACACAUGUCAGCCUUGUAUCUGGUUGAAUUAAGCUAUAUGUCCUUUUUUAGUAAAGCUGUAGGGUGGACUGAAUAAAAGACACAUUUGUAAGGUAAAUAUUUAAGGAGACCUCUUACACUCGUUCUUCAUCCUUUAUUAUGUCAGUGUAGGACACCCACUGAGUACAUCUGCAUGCUUUGCAGUUCUAUCUUAUCUAUUUUGUGUUUGUGUUUGAGAAAACCUUCAUUCCACCACUGUUCAGUUUCUGACUGAAACCCUUAGUUUUGGUUGCUUUUCCUCUGCUUCAAAGUUAGACUCAGCCUUUGUGUGUUUUUAGCUCUGUGGUCUUCCAAUGACCCGAAAGUUACUCCUACAGAUGGGGUUAACCGUUAGCACCUACUAAGCUCCUUAUUUAGCCACAUUAGUAUAUGUUAGCUCUCAUUAAAUAAGCUCCUGUUAUAACAUUACUGACAGCUUGUGGUUCUGAACAUGAUAAACAGUCCCAGGUUACAGUGACUGUUGAGACGCAAAUCUAGAUCAUACUUGCCUAUGUUUACUGAGGAGACUUUGAGGAAGUGGCAAGCACAGACAGCCAUGUUGUGGCUGUUGUUGUCCUGAAAACAUCAAAUCUUCCCUACUGUUUGUCUUGGUCUGUAGGAUGAGCAACUUUCCCUGAUGAACUGAGUCAACUAAGUGCAAAGUAGUAAUUUUCUAGUAAAGAGAAAAUCUGGACAAACUUCUAUGCAGGUGCUGAGUUGUUUUCUAUUACUGAAGUUAGGGACAGGCUAUCACACUGUAAACUAAACUCUCAGUGUGGCUCUGAACUCUGUCAGAUUGUGUGAUUGAAAUUUGUUCACUGGUCAGUGUAAACUCUUGAUAAAUAUAUUAAUAUAUGAAUAAAUAUCAUGUCCUAUGAUCCAAAGAGAAAAUGCUUAUUUCAUGUAAUCAUAUGUAGUUGUCAUGUAUAUCAGUAAAGGUGUCUGAAGGGAGUUUUGUUCUGCUUGUUGUCUCCCAAUGUUGCUUGUUGUCAGAGAGUGUUGGAGAAUAAAAACAGUGUUUUGUGCAUCUGCCUGUAAGUUCAGGAGAACGUGAACUUUUAAGGACAUGAUAUUCCGUACGCUCUAGUCUAGGGUGAAAGUUAUAGCACAUAGUUGAACUGAGCGUCUGAACAAGUGUGAUUUAGGUCAGGAGAAAACAGCUUUAAAUCUUGGACCAUCGUCUCUAGUGUUUUGCAGAGGAUAGGAAGAGAGAGGUGGCCCAUGCACUAAGACAGGUCCACAGUUCACCCAAGAGAGAGUAAAUCUGCUCAAAAUAUGAUGCUUUUAAAAUAGUUUUAGCAAGUUUUAAGGAAUGUAGUCAGAUACUUUACCAGAUCCAGGUCUGAGUGCCUGAACAUCUGCCCCUAAAAGUUGAUAAACAGUGUUGCCAGAUCUCCUGAGAGAAACAAGCAACCAGCUCUAUGAAAACAAGCCCAAAACAAACCCAACAGGCAACCUGCCACAUUGUGUAAAACAAUGGCCUCUGGUUGAUGGUAAAAAUAUAUAUCAGUGGUUCCCACAGGACUUGCUAAUACACGAUGCGCCCCACGGUGCGACGCCCAGGUGUAAAAAAAACAAAACUCAUUUUGAAAGUGUGGUGGCUUUUAUCUUGUUGUGGCUGUGCGCCACGAUCAAUUACAUGUAAGGGAAACCCUGUACAUUCAUUAUUACAUUGUGCAUUAGCAACUGCAAAAUUAUAAUUAACACAGUUAACAUGAAAACUUUGAGUAAUUUAAAUUCUUUAAAUAACUGAAGUUUUGAAACUUUGGUUAAAAGAAAAGAUUUUGGGUUGAAGACUUAAAUUUUUUCAUAUUUUCCCCACUUACAGCCACUCACUCUCACUCUCUCUCCUUGCCCAUUUCUUUAUCACUCUGGGCUCUGGCGCAUGGGCAUGAUGCGCCGUGUGAGUGUGUUAGAGGGCGUGCCGGCUACUCAAGCGGGCACGAUUCAGGAAACGGUGGUCUGGAAAGGACAAACUACUUACCGCACUCACGUUUUACUUUGCUUUUGUGGGGAGCUGAGAGAUAAUCAGGGUGGGGGGUCACACAGACAGAAAAGCAAGCCCAAAUAAGCAACUACUCGUUAAAAACAAGCCUGAAAAACCGCAAAUCGCGACUCGCUAGUUUUACAAGCGACUUCUGAGAAAAAGAAGCCCAAAGUCGCUUAUAAUCAGCAGACUUGGCAACUAUGUAGACGACACUAACAUGUACGUAACAUACAAGCCGACUUUAUAAAACCAUUAACUGUUAGGUCAAUGACUUUCAGACCCGGUAGAAUAUCCGGGUCCCUUAAAAAACUUUACAAAAACUUAAACUACUGAUAGGAGUUAGAAAAACACUCAAAAAUCCAAAAAGAUGAUAUGAGCCAUACACAAAAAUGUUAAUCUGGGUCUCCAGAAGGGGACAUCAAACUAGCCUUGGCAGAAUCCACAUCAAGCUAAGUCCUCUCCUCGGGGUCCCUGCUUAUGUUUGGCUUGAAGAAAGACUCAUAGAAACACUCAACGUUGUCUUAUCUUGACUUCUCAGUCUGUUUAAAGGUCAUCUCAACAUUAGACUCUCCAAUGACACUCACAAUCACAUACACAGCAGUGUAACUUCAUGAAGUUUCAUGAGUUUCCUCACUUUACGCACUGACUUCUCUCCUCAUCUUUUACUCCAAGCGAGGGCCGACUCCAAGAUCUAUUAUGUUACAUGACCUCUGAUACUCCCAAAGCUAGUAAGCAGCUCACGCCAAGCUCACUACAUGCACCAAGCCUGUAGUUGGUUUCUGUUCAGAUGCUCAGUUUAGAGCUUCUUUGAGGAUGUCACCAGCAUGUCUAUAGAAAUCAGAAAAGUCUGACUCUUCUCUGGUCUUUAUCAGUACUCUGCACCCUCACACAGAACAGACCUCCAACGCUUUUUUCCCCUGCAUGAGCCAUUUAGAUGUAUUUCUGUCGCAGCAAAGGUUUUGACCUAAAGUCUCUGUAGCAGAACUCAUUAAGCAUUAUAUUUGGCGUUCAAUGCAAAGCGGCACUAUGAUGGUAGACUUUGAGGCGUGGGUGUCAAUUAGUCACUUUCUCAAGAUAGUUUUUCCGGGCUCAACUUUCUCGUCUUUUUUUUAAACCGGCAGAGCUCAGAUGGAUUACUUAUUAGUCAGUGAAUAACUUUAAAACUACUCGAUUAGAUCCCUGAUGGCAUCUGCUUGAAGGUGAAUCAGAAGUCCAUGUACAGUGUAUUUUCAUAGGAUUUAAGUUUCUCCUGAGAAUAUUCAUGUAAAAAUCCUGCAGGCUGAAUAUUUACUGUGAGGUUUGUAAAAAAAAAAGAAGAAGGUAAAAUGCUAAAGAUAAGCUGACAUUAAGCUGCUGUUAUUUGGAGAUAAAUCAGUCAUCAUGUAGGUGUUUGAGGCCUGUUUAUCACUGGUUUUCUCUUUACCACUUCAACACUUUGAACAGAGGGUGGUGUCGUUUUCACAUCUGGCUUCAAAAUGGAGACCACAGCAUGGCCUCUGCUCUGCCUCCCACAUGUCGCUGCUCUGUCAACUGAGCAGGUCGACACGCACCACAAUUUAACCAGCCUGUUUUCUCCCUUUCAGUCUCUCUUUCUUUGUUUUUUUGUCCUUUUUUGAUCCUUUUUUCUCUUUCUCUUUUCUGCUUUCACAGCACUUAAAAGAGGCAGACAUUUAUGCUUGUCUGCUGGCUGCGAAACUGAACGGAAAAGAGAAGUGUUUUGAUCGGUGAGGCAUUAAAGGUGACAUGAUUCAGACUGAGCCCACAUUUUAGAAACAAGUCAGACUGAAAUCUGAAGUAUGACUGGUGAAUAUGAUGCUUAAUGUAUGACAAACAUUUUUUUCAUCGUGGAAAAAAAUCUCCCAUCAUUUCCUUUUGUGUCAUCCUUUAUUUUUUCUCUUGUAAUGUCUUUUCUGUCUUCUAGUUUUGAUCUCUUUCUACCCAAAUUAGUUCCAACAGACCUAUAAAAGAUAGGCUAUUUUAGCUCAUGUUCUUACACCAAAAUAAGAAUAAAAGCAGUCUGUUUAACCAGCUAAUUUGGAGAUAAAAUGGAGAUAAAUGGAUUUUUAACAGCCUGUAUUGGUAAGAAACCUUUUUUAAAAAUCUUUGUGCUCUCUAUUUGCCUCUCAGUCAGACUGUGAGAUAAACAACCGUGGUAGAGAAAGAGGAAAAGUAUCUCUUCUCCUCUACCCACCUCUCUCUCAUCCUCUCAGCUUCCUUUUCACUUUUAAAAACACACACACACCAUGCGUCUGAUCGCAUCAAAGCUCAGCCUCGAUGUCUCCUUCUCUUCUGUCUGACUAAUUUUGAUAGUAAAAAACAAAAAUUGACAGACGAUAUUUCUGGGCAAUUCGGUCAUGUUAGAUGAUGUCACAGGUUUCAGGUGAACUUUCUAAAACAGGUCAGAGGUAUGAUCGUCUCCAGCAACAGCUAUUUACAUCCCACACAGUCAUACCCUGGCUCAGCUAUCUGGAGAAAAAUUGUCGACUUUGGUUCUGAUAUGACUUUGUGUUUACUUUGUUUGCCGGACCUUAAAAAAUUGUAGUCGGUGGUGUUUUAUCACAGGCCCCUGAGCACUUCCUCAUGCUCAAAUGCGAACAACAAAGUUAGACUAGUGACAUGAGUGUAGAGGAGAGUGCUCGGUAAUUAUUCGAACCUGGAUUGUGCACAGAGUGCGGUUACUUUGCUUCAGGUUUGUGUGUUUUUUUGAAUAAAUCUCCUAGUAAAAAUGAAACUCUGAAUCAGAAGGAGAAUUUCUUUGAUCAAUGAUCCUGCAGAGGUGACAUAUAAACUUUUCGGUGUGGGUGGAGUGGUGUUAAAAGGUUGCAACUGCUUUUUUAUUUUAUUUCAGGCAGAUGAACUGCUAAAAAAUUUGUGACUUUCAUGUGCUACAUUAUCAGAUUUUUACUAACAAAGGUUAGCAAUGCUGUUUUAACUUUACUAUGCUGAAUCUAAUCUAAGCACUAUGUCUAUUGCACAAUAACAUAAAAAAUGUGGUUUAUACCUGAGCUGAGAAAUGUUUUUAUCUUGUUUUGAAAUAUAACGAUAAUUAUCAAAAACGUAUUCCACAAUACCAGCGUUACCACUCUUGAAUUUGAUGAAAUGUUCGGUCAUACUGAAAGUACAGCAGAUACUGAAACCCUAACACGACAUUUGAGCUUGUUUUCGUGUUGUACGUCAAUGUGAAAAUUCACAGUUCGGUCCAACAAAUAACCUGUGACUGUUUUUAGUGUUAAUUGGUGUCAGUCUUGUUUUCUUUGUAUAAAUAAAUCCAUAAGUCAAACUGAAACCAUGAUGCUUUGGAGUGAUAAAUUCACCAGAGCAACCAGGGGAAAUUCGGCUCAUGAAAUGAUCGUUUCUCUGACUACCCACUCAGUUUCGACUGGAAAAAAAAAAGUAUUUAACCUUUUCAGCAACAACAAAUGCACAAAAAAGAAAAAAAAGAGUGAUAUGAGGAGGCUGAGUAUUGUUGCGGUGUUGUGUCUGGAGUUACAAAUCCUGCUUUUGGGUGCAAAUAGUUAAGUAGGACUGUACAGUCAUUUAAACAUAUAAUUUCACUCACUUUCUUCUGUUGCUUCAGAACGUUUGCAUAUUUUUACAUUCUCUGUUUCACAUGUCGCUCGUCUGUUUGAUCUUUUAUCUCUUAUUUUUUUAUUGAAAAGAGCAGUUUCAAGUCCCUAAAUGACACAGUAGCUCGGGGUGCACGAUGCACGUACAAUGUUGAAAGCUCGACUUUCAUUGAUAAUCCAGCUGUGGUCACUGAAAUUACUCAUUUCAAUAUGGGUGUUUUGUUGUAUGAUUGAGUAGAGCUGUGUUGAAUACAUUUGUGUCUUUUGAGGACUCUGAUAUGCAGUUUUAAUUUUUUGAUUGUAUGAUUUUGAAUUUGAUAAAUUCAAUUUGGGAAUUUUUUAAAGACUCAUACAAAGUAAAUGCUCUUAUUACCCUUUCCUCAUUAGCUCUCAUAAUUUUCUCUCCUAUUAAGAUUUUAUGAUACAGGAUGAUUAUUUAAAAAAGUAGGUUUUGCAUUUAAAGUCUGACUCUGCUGAUAACAACUGCAGACCUGCAUCCAUGAGUGUAAAUGAAAUCAUUGUCUAGAGCUUGUUUUUGAAGACCUGCUUGCAUAUAGAGGUUAGUUCUUGAUGUAAAAUGUCAGAUGCUGUCAGUCUCUCUGUUAAGUCCAUAAGUAAAUAUAAACAUGUUGAUGGUUUCAGUCAGCUGGUGUUGCGUGCUCACAGUCCGUGGGUGGCAUCUCUUUGUUGCCAUCGGCGACACUUUGACUAAUCGGCUCACUAACUUGCUCCUUGUGUGAGUGUGUGUGUAUUUAAACAUACACUUUUAUACUUGUAUCAGUGUGUGUACAGUAACAGUAAAUGUCUGUUUAGUUGGAUGUGUGCUGUGUAACUUUGUACAAUCUGUGAUUCGUGAGUCUUUUUUUUCUGAGUGGCUGUUUUAAGGCUGUAUUUUAUGUUGUACAUUUAUGUGUAAAAUUUUGGAUGUUUUUAGUCUCUAUGCCAGAAUAUGUGCUUUUAUUAAAUGUAAUAUUACAUACGGUGUAAUGUCAGCAAGAGAGAGAGAUAGUGAGAGUGUGUAUGUGUGUGUGUGUGUGUGUGGGGGGGGGCUUUACAGUUGUGCUGUUUGACUAGCUGCAUACAUGUUUAACAGUGUGUAGGUUUUAUUCCAAAUACUGUGUGAUUACUUGAUAAGCCCAAUAUGGGUUUGAGUAUCUAUUUUUGACUCCACUUGUAUAUUGGUGUGUGUAUGUGUGUGUUUUUGACACAUUCUGAUCUGGUUUGUUGUGUUAGUGUGUAUGCAUGACUGACAGAUUUUGGUAUUAUGAAUAUUAUUCUAACUUCAUUUGUGUAUACAAAAGCCUAUUCAAGUGUGUUUGUGAUUAUUACAAAGACUAAUGACAAAAACUUAAUAUUUCAUGACUUUUUUGAGUGUGUUUUUCUUUUAUAAGUGUGUGUGUGUGUGUGUGUGUGUGUGUGUGUGUGUGUGUGUGUGCUUGUGUGUGUAGCUCAAAUAUUUCCUUAAAGCUGUGAUCGUACAGAAGUGUGUAUUUUUGUCACUGUGUGUUCUUUUACUAAUUUUACACACCUUUUCUGUAUACAGUUGCAAAUAUGUAAGCUGUAUGAGUGUGUGUGUAUAUUUUUGCAGUAUGCAUGCAUACAUACCUUUACGCAAGCCACAAUAUAUACAAUACAAUAUGUUUUUUUCUUUUGCAAAGACAUGCAUGUGAACAUACAGCAAUAAUACAACUUGUUUGGAUUUGUCCAGACAAGAUGCCCUGUACUAAUUGUGUACAAUUAUAUCGUGGUGUCAUUUUUUAAUUAUAUUUUUGGGCUUUUGUGCCUUUUGCUGGUCUGUUAGGACAGUGGAUAGAGUAGGAAACAGGGAGAGUGAAUGUGGAGUGACAUGCUGCAUGCGACAACAGGCGGGAAUUCAACCCUGGCCACCCGCUUCAGGGACAAAAGCUUUGAACAUGAGACACAUAAUUUUACUACGUGGUCAAAAUGGCACCUAAAAUAUAGUGGUGUGUGUGUGUGUGUGUGUGUUUCCCAGACAGUGUUAAUCCUCUUAUUUUGUCCUGUUACACCAUCGUCUUACACCAUUCAGACUUGUACAAGUACAGUUAUUUUAUUUACAACAUUUCUUCUUUCACUGCUCCAAGUGUGUGAGUGAUGUCUAGUUGUGAGGGUGUAUCAGUAAUAGGUCAUUUGAUUUCUGCUGUUUAAUGCUAUAGGUUUGUAUAACUGCAGUUGCAUGUUUGUACACUAGAUUUGCGAGCAUUUAUUUGUACAGCACGUGUUAAUUGAGUUCAUAUGUGGCUGAUUAUUUUUGUCUGUGUGUUUGUUGUCAUUUGUAAUUGAUCUUAAUUCACAUGUUUACUGUAUGAGUGUGUGUACCAUAUGUGCAAACAGUGUGCGUGCAUUACUUUUAUUUGUUGAUAUAUUGUUAAGAUAAUGUGCACACAUGUAUGCCCUCUGUAUGUGUGUUUAUUCCUGGUUGUGGUUCUGUCAGUGUGUGUUACCAAGUGUUUUAGCAGAUAUGGAGAGGUGACGUCAAUGGAAAAAACCCGUAAUGAUCACAGAGUCAUUCAUAAUAAAUUUACUGGACUUACAAAUGUGUCUAGAACCAGUAUGCUGUUUAAAUCAUGGUAUUGAUUUUUUCAACCCUAUUGGAUGCUUAUUCAUCUACUUGUGUUGUUUUUUAUGUAUUUCACGUAAUGUGUGUGUACAUACAUGUGUAUGAGUGUGAGUGCAGUGAUGCACAUUGAAUACAGUAUAUGUUUUGCAAUAUGCAGCAUGUUAGUGUAUGUUCAGUGUGCAUAUAUUCACUCUCAUAUAGUCAUGUGAAACAGAUUGUUCCCUCUUCUGGCAGCUCCCCGUCUGUCUCAGCUGACAUUUACACAUUCAAAUCAGAGACUGUUUAUAGCUGUUCGAGGCACAUGACAUGAUUUCAUCCCUGUUUGUCAUGACUUACAGUACUGCAGCACCUUACAGGACUGUUUUAUGCUGUUAGGUCCAUUUUUUACAUAUUUGAUGCUAAGACCAUUUCAAACAGAAUCCUUGCAGCACCUAGAAGUCAACUUUUCAGGAAGUAGAUGACGGCUAGUGUUUUUUUUUAGUGUUUUGUCUAUAUCUGUUUUCCUUUGGGGUCCUGGAGACAAACCCAUACUCCUCUCAGUAAAUGAAGACAAUGAGCGUCAUUCAGAUGAUCUGAAUUUUACUACACACACGUCCUGCAUUUAACACACAAACAUAACAUAAACUAUAUCACAUUUUUCCUUGUUUAUUGCUGUUCCAGGUUUUAAUGGUCAGUGUCUCUCACUUGUCUAAAACACAGUUUGUGGUAAAGAGAGGAGGGGUCACCACUUCACCUUUUUUGGUGCAUGUGCUCAUACAGUUGAAGAAAACCAAAACAACUCUAAAGAUUAAACCAGUUUUUUAUUUUUUAAACACUUAGUUUUUUUUAUACUGAAAAGAAAAAAACUCAGGGUUAAAAAAAAGGAUGUGAAUCAACAUUAGUUCAGAGAUUUUGUAGGUUUUCGAUACUGAGAGCCAUAAACCAUCGAACCAUGUACUUAUGCAGCCUGUCUGCUCUGCUGAGACAUUUUCUUUUUUUUUUUCUCUGUAAUUUUAUACUGAUAUUUUAUGUACGAUGUGACACUUUUCAAUUUUUAUUUAUUUUUAAGUAAUUUUUUGGGCAUUUUUUUUCCUUUUAAUAAUAGUUCAAAGUAAAAUGUGGGGAGAUAGAGAGAGAGGGGGGAGGACAUGCAGCACAUGGCCGGGGCCGGACUCAAGCCGGACUUCAGGGACCGUGGUCCCCAUACAUGGGGCGCGCUAACUCACUCGGCUAUCUGCGCGUCCCAGCUGACAGUUUUUUAACCUAUUCUUCGAACCUAAACUUCAACUUUUAAUGAUAAUAAAAGUAAAAUCAGGGAUUUUAAUAUUUUUAUUAUUAUUGAUAAUAAGUGUUUUAUUUUGUUCCUUUUCAGGUCCACUGGAACCAAUGCGAUUCCUGACAGCUCUCUCCUCUGGUUCGUGGACAACUCCAGUGCAGCCUCCCAAACAACAUCUGGACAUCUGUCCACCAUGCAAAAGCUCUUUAAUAAAAAGGUAAGUGAUUCAGUCAAAUCAACCUAUUUUUCAGAAAGUUGCAUUGUCUUCAGUAGUGGUAGAUUUCUUUGACUCAAUACGUAAAUCCUACUUCCAGAAUCUGCACUCAUCUGAAUGAUCACCUUUAAAAUGUUCAAAUCUGAGCACAGACUCCUUCACCUUUAAAUCAGUCCGAUGUUUGCGCUACAAUGUAGUUAGGACGUGGUGUAAAAUGUGAAUGAAAUACAGAACAUAAUGAUUUGUAAAACCUUUUAGACCUUUAUUCCACCAAAUCAUAACAUUAAUACACUAAAGACAAGAUAUUUAAUGUUCAAACUGAUAAACUUGAUUUUUUAUUUUUUUUAUUUUUUUUAUUUUUUUGCAAAUAUUCACUCAUUUUAAAUUUUGAUGCAUUUGACACAUUCAAAAAUAACGGGGUCAGGGUCAUGUUUUACCUCUGUGUUACACAACCUUUCCUUCGAACAACACACAGGAAGUGUUAGAGAAACAAGGACACUAAUUGUUGAAGCUUUGGCAGUGAAUUCUUUUCCAUUCUUGCUCGAUGUAGAUCUUCAGUGGCUCAAGAGUCUGAGGUCUUUGUUGAGGUAUUUUCAUUUUCACAUUUUAAGUGGGAGACAGGUCUGGACUAAAGGGACUGAUCUAGCAUCCCGACUCAUUUACAAGGAAGCCACAUUGUUUUAACACGUACUGAAAUAAAUAGGGCUGUCCCUCUAAAAGAUGUGGCUUGGAUGGCAGCGUGUGUUGCUCCUAAACCUCUAUGGACCUUUCAGCAUUAAUGGAGUCGUCACAGAUAUAACAGUUAGCCAUGAGCACUAACACACCCCCGUACCACAACAAAUGCUAGCUUUUAAACUUUGACCUGAUAAUAGUCUGGAUUGUCAUUUUCCUCGAAAGCCCAGAGGACACCACAUCCAUGGUGUCCAAAAACAAUUUAAACCGUGGACUCAUCAGCCCUCAGCACACUUUCACACUUUGCGUCAGUCUAUCUCAGGUAGGCCCUGAUCCAGAAAACCCAGCUGCGUUUCUGGGUGUUUUUGAUAUCUGGCUUUGGCUUUGGCUAGAAGGGUUUUAGCUUGCGCUUGCAGAUGAUUUUCUGAAGUGUUAGUAAACCCACAGGGUAAAAUCCUUCACAGAAUAAUGUUGGUUUUUAAUGCAGUGCUGCCUGAGGGGUCAAAGGUCACAGGCAUUCAAUGUUGAUUUUUGGCCUUACUGUUUUUGUUGAGAUUUCUUUGGAUUCCCUGAAUCUUUUAAUGGUAUUACGUACUGCAGAUGAUGAAAUUCCUAAAUCCCUUGAAUUCUAUGUUGAAACACCUUUUUCUUAAAUAUUUGCUCACGCAGUUGUUCACAAAAUGAUGAACUUCUUCCCAUCCUUGCUUUGAACAAUAGAGCCUUUCGUGGAUUCUCCUAUUACACCAAAUCAUCAUGACUUUUGUUUCCCCUGUCCCAACUUUUUUGGAAAGUUUUGCACCGUCAAAUUCAAAAUGAGUGAAUAUUUGCACAAAAAAAAAAAAAAAAAAGACAAUCAAGUUUAUCAAUAGUAACAGGCAGACAAGGAUGUACAAAUCAUUGUAUUCUGUUUUUAUUUAUGUUUUACACAACAUCAGAACUUCACUGGAACUGGUGCUGGUAAAUGUUUAUGCUAAAUGUUGUUUGAGUUGUAAUGUGGGAUAUGAAAAUGCAGGCUGCAGAUGUUACACCCUGUCACUUGUGACCCACAGAUAACCACAUCAGCACAAUUUUUUUCUGUGUGACAACAAAAGUUUGGUUUAGUCAUAAUAAGCUUGUCGGUUAUCACUCACAUAUUUGCCACAGAUUUUUUUUUAUAGUAUGAAUAAAGGACACAUCAAGAAGGAAUGAAUUUUUUUUUGUACUUUGAAAAUCAAAUUGACAUUAACUUAAAGCAGUGGUUCUCAAGUCCAGUCCUCGAGGCCCACUGCCCUGCAUGUUUUGGAUGUUUUACCUGCUCCAACACACCUGAUUCAAAUGAUCAGCUCGUUAUCAAGCUCUGUAAUGGCUUAAUAACGAGCUGAUCAUUUGAAUCAGGUGUGUUGGAGCAGGGAAACAUCCAAAACAUGCAGGACAGUGGGCCUCGAGGACUGGACUUGAGAACCACUGACUUAAAGCCAAAAACAUCCCCUAGAUGUAGCUGCUGCCACAAAGGCAAGAAAGUGAGAGGAGUCUUUCAAUCAGCUGAUCGUAAAGUCUUCCUGAAAUUGAUUCAACAGUUUUACAUUGUUGUUGACAAAUGAAGCUGAAAAUGUGCACUGACAUCUUCACUUGAAGUUAACAAUCAGCAUCCUUGUCGAGAGUCAGUGGGUGUAGUUACUAUAGCAACCAUGAGACCACAUAAACACUGAAGUGUUAGCUGGUGUCCCACGGGUGCAUGUUAGUCUGAUAUAAUGACCUUUGCUUGUUAUAAGUCAUUAAUAGAUGAUGUAUUAAAUAGAGAAAGAGCGAGAGAAAAGAGAGCAAGGGAGGAUAAAGAGGUGUAGACAGAGAUGGUGGGAGACUUGGAGUACUGGUGAGCGAGAGGAAGAGAAAGGGGAGUUGCAGGGCAAGAAGGCAGACUGAUAGGCAGGUGAAGGAAACACUUUAAAAAACUACAUUAAAUACCCAAGAUGUUAACAGGCUCAACCCCAUCUUUAAGAAUAGUGAUGGUGGCAGUAAUAUUAAAACAAUCUACACAGACUAAACAACCAUCAGAAAGUUAUAAAAAUUCAUAUUACACUCUAUCUCAGUCAUGGGUAACAUAAACAUCGAAGCGUAUCUAAAUAUAGCUAACUUUGAUAUUUUGCAGCUUAGUCUACACACUGGGUGUAUAGAGGAAGAAAGCAGUCAGGUAGCCAACCAGGACAAUUACCCAGCUUGCUUUCUUCAUGUGUGAAUAAAAAAUACAUCGAAUUUUGGGUAUAGUUUUGAUGGUACAUUUAAGAAAACUUACUGCUGAUCAAGAGUUUCAUUUCCACCUGUCAGCAUGUCUAGAAAAGACGACAGCUGUUCUGACCACAUGUGCAAAUAUAUAUGUCACUCAAGUCUUAUGGAAACUGAUUUUCUUUUUAAAUAUGACAUAAAUCCCCGAAAAACACAUAUUUUUUUGUAUUUAUAGCUAAUUGCAAAAGGAAUUUGUGUGUGUGUUUUAUCAGCUUAAUAGUGGCCUUUUUGCAUUUAAAUUAGUAACAUUUACCGUUGAGGGUGAUAAAAAUAGUGAUGUAUGACAAACAUCUUUGUCUCUUCAAAGUAUUAAGUUUGACCUUUGAGUUUUACAUUUGUCACAUUCUUCUAUAACAAAUGUCAAGGUAGAUGUGAUUGGUGCAGAUAACCCUCCUACUUUACUUUAUAAGGUUACUCCUUCUCAAGUCUGUGCCCUAGUCUGGCCAGUCCCAGUCAACAAAUUCUGGCUACACCCCUGGUUGGACUACCAGCAAGGACUGAACAGAUGAGGCAGUAAACUGUGUUACUGCUAGGCUGUGGUCUUAAAGCAGAUGUGAAUCUGUCAGAAUUAUAAGGAGGACUUUAAAUAGCCAUAAUGUGAUUUGGCAAAGAGCUAUAUACGGUCAGGGAACCAGUUCCAAGAUCUAAUUCACAUGACUUUUGUGAAAACAUAACACAACAUUUGGCUUAUUAUGAUUUGGUGGGCAAACCUUACUGUCUUACUCCUUACUUUGUGUUUUUGUUACACUGAGUACAGUUACUGUAGCCGGAUCAGGAAAUUUUUCUUGGUUAUUAAAUUUUUAUUUAUUUUAUUUUUUUUAGCUGACUCAGUUCUGGCUAUUUUUUCUUUAUUUUUUUUUCUCUCAGUUUUAAUAGAUUAAUGCAACGGUCUUGAGCAUCCUUAAAUGUUAAUAUGUGGUUACAUGAUCAGGUUUGAGAUACUGAAACCUGGUUCAAAUUCAAAUUAGAGUACUGUAAGCUGAGAGAAAAUGAAAGAUUUUCUAAUACUCUGACCUAGAUAUCAUUUUCUUUGCUUGUGGUAAUUUUUACAUAAGAGCCAAAUGUUACGAUGAAGAGGGAAUCUUGUAUUAUUUCACAUGAGACGAAAAGGUCAAUGUCUUCAUCAAAGUGACACAUCGUGGCCUGUUCUGGUGUAAGAAUCGCGCCUUAGAGAGGACUUUGCAGGUGACCUGUAUAGGAACCUCUGUUGAAUGUUAACAUCCUACAGUAGGCCACAUUAUGAGAAUUGAAACAUUGACUGGAUUUUCCCUGAGCUCUGCUGCAUGGGCGACUCUCUGAUAUUGAACCUCUCACUUCCUUUUCGAAGCGGCUUUGUUUAUCAGUUUACACUCUAUUUUUACUGAAAGUCUCUGCUCGCUCACAUUACUUCAGUUUACAGUGAAAAGGAUGUGCUCUCUUUGGCACGUGUUUCGCUUGGAUUCACAAACACACUUGGCACUGCCUUUUUUUCUGUAGGAGAGGAUGACUAUCAAGUGACUUCCAGUAGGGUGCCUCUUAAUUUGUACUACAGGUAGUUUCCUCUGAACUUUCCUAUCCAACAAACUAAACUUUUUCUUACACGUUAUGAAACCAGUUCAAAGGCUCUGCAGGUUUUUUGUCUUCUCUUACAUUUUGUUGUGGAGUUGGCAAAAUGCAUAUCGCUUUUAAGUGAUGACAUGAUAUUAGGUAACAGGGACAGAUAUGUCAGAGAUUGAGGUAGACACCACCACAGGAAUGCCUGCUGUUUGUAAUUGUUGAUGUCUCUGUGCUGUAUAUGAGGACUACAUACAUAUCAUUGAUUAAAGUGAGAAAAAUAUCAGAGGGGUCAGAGGCUGUUAUCUGUCAAUUUCUGUUGCGAGAACAUGUAGCUUAGCAACAUAACAGAUUCAUUAUGAACAAUGAAUGAAGUUUUCCAGAACAUUGUCAAAUAUAAAUCAUAAACACAACCUUAUAAAAAUUGUUACCUCAUUUUGUGCUUACCCUAGUUUGACUUGCUCGUAGCCUAAUUGUUAAGUUGACUUCUCAUGAGGGAGCUAGCAUCUAACUUCCUGUUUAUUGAAAAAAAAGUUGUGUUUAUAUUUAUGUGUUUUAUAUUUGUGUGUUUUUAACAAGUUUUGCCUAACAUAGCAACUGGUUAGCCAACCAAACUGACAGUGAGUGAAGCCUUCUGUGUCACCAUAAGCAGAGGAUAGGAGAGUGCUGUCACAUAUUAGCCUGGCUAACUUUAAGCUAGCUGUCUGAUGUUUCAUGUUUAAGAUUAGUAACUAUCUGACAAUGAGACAUCUAAGUUUUUUCAGUGACUUAAGACACACCAGUAAGUCUCAACUUGAGGCUUCAUGUGCCUUAAAACCAACUUUUGCAAACAAGUUCCUUUAAAAGGUUGUUAGCAAAAAUUUUGAGUUCUUUCUUUCUUAGCGGGGUGGCAGUAGCUCAGGAGGUAGAGCAGUCGUGACUGUGUGAGUGAAUGAAUGAUGUAUCCAACGUAAAGCGCUUUGAGGGUCUCUGAUAAAGCACUAUAUGAAAUCUGAUGCAUUAUUAUUAUUAUUAUUAUUAUCUAUCUAUCUAUCUAUCUAUCUAUCUAUCUAUCUAUCUAUCUAUCUAUCUAUCUAUCUAUCUAUCUAUCUAUCUAUCUAUCUAUCUAUCUAUCUAUCUUUCUUUCUUUCUUUCUUUCUUUCUUUCUCUACAAAAAUACUUUACAGCUGCAUUACUCUAUCAGUAAAACCAAACAACAAUCACUGGUAGUCGUACUGUAUGUGAUCCUGUAAUCACCCACCCUUUUUGAAGUUAGAGUUAGUUAGUCAGAGACUUUUAAACAGUUGGUACUGUGUGUGUUUAAGUGUGUACUGUUCUUUGUAGAGAAAUAGAUAAAGAAUGUGUAUCGAUAGUUGGGGGUGUUGGCUUAAAAAACAAAAACAUGGUAUCAAGUAAUCUUGCAUACAUUAACAGGACUUUAGCAGAGGACCCAGGCGUAGGAUAAAGAACAAGUAUGACGGAUCAUACAAAUAAAAAAAAAAAUUGAAAACACUAAAAAAGUAGGAAACAGGGUUGAUAACUUAUUUAUUUAUUAAUGAACUUAUAGAACUUAAAAUCAAUAAUUUUAAAGGUAUGGAAAUGUACAAGAAUGAAAAACAUAUCAGUCCCUGUCAGACACAGCUGAACUGAAAAAUAAUUAUUUAAUUGGAAUAAUAAUUAUACCUUUCUAUAAUAAGACUUAUCAUUGCAAAAUUUUCAUCUGCCCAUUUCUAUUGUCUCUCAUGGGGGCAUUUGUCAGUUCUCAUGUAAAGACCAAACCAAAUUCUGCCUGUUUCCAUCAUGAACCACCUGACCCUGAAGUGAAACCACACUUUUCACACCUUUACUAGUGAACCAUGAAUUUAUGCUUAGAUCCACGUAAUCGUGGGGUUAUAUCGGGACAAGAACUCAGGUUUAGGCUUAAGGUUAAUUCAGGUUAUGUUUAACAAAUGUUUUGGUGAAGGAUUUUGAGAGGAGACGCAUCAUUUGUGUUGUUCCAGACAGUUACCCUCCGGCAGCUUUGCUGUUUCAUCACCUGACUGUGCUCGACUUAAGGGAAUAAAAAAGUGAGACAGAUAGGGGGAGUACAGGACACCAGUGCUUAUUUUACAGGGAGGAGAAAUCAAGGAGUUUGACAGAGAACAGACUACAGAGGAUAAAAGAACAACCAGCAUGUGUCUUUUUAUUCGUAGGGUACCUACUAGGGAUUUCUGCUUAGAGAAAUGUUCAAAUUUACAGCAGGUUGAUUUCAUAGACAUCUAAUAAGAACUCUGUAGUAGAGGUGCAUGCUGAAGACAAAGAAGAGAAAAGUACAAGCAAAAAAAACAAAUUAAAAUUAGCUCUAAAAAAAAUAAGAAGACAAGAAGUCACACAUGUAGAAUUGACCUCCACCUCUUUGUUUCUCACUGUCUCACACCUUGACAGACAGACUUUAGGUUUAAUGAAAGCUCUACCCACACACUGUCCUCUUUGCAUCUACGUCCUGUGUGGGACGGCUUCUCAGACAUUGCCUCAUAUGUUGAACAAUCAUGAUCUCAUGAGAACAGAGAGUGAGCAUCAACCCUGGGAAACUUCAACCAACAAGAAACAAAACUGUAUUCCUGACAUAAAUGAAAGGGUUAAACAUUGUUCUCUUGGGGCAAAUGUGGGAAAUAUAUAUUUUUUUUUUACAAUAAUUGACCUGUGUUAAAAAUGUUUUUAGAUUAUUUUCUUCUAUUAUAUAUCCUCAGGUACACAUGACAACUAAUCGAUUUACAUUAAUUUGUAUAAACAUAACACAUUUAAAGGAUUAUAUAUGUUUGGUUAGAGAAGAUUUAAUGAGGGUAUUUUGCAAUUGGUAAAUUUGCCUUGUAUGUUUUGAUAUUUAUGAAAAUGGUAUGUAGUCAUCCAGCACCUUUCAGAGGUUAACACAAGAGAGUUGAUUGAAUCCAGCAGUGAAGGCGUCCUGCUACCUCAGCAAGGAUAGAAAUUAAACACUUGACAAGUUUGUGAAAACAGCAUGGCUCUGUGAAGUUCUGUGUGAGAGAGAAUGUUCAUUUCUGCAGGUGUAAACGCAAUUUUGCAGAAGUUAUCUGCAACUGAUGUGAAGUGUACAUGCUGCUUUCUUUGUAUGGAAACGGAGGAGGGUGUGUGUGCAUGUGUGUGUGUGUGUGUGUGUGUGUGUGUGUGUGUGUGUGUGUGUGUGUGUGUGUGUGUGUGCAGCUCCACAAGAAUUACACACUAAACACAAAGAGGCAAAUAUGAGUCAGCAAGAGGAGGUAUUUUAUCCAAAUAGCUCUAAAAAAAAUAAGAAGACAAGAAGUCACACAUGUAGAAUUGACCUCCACCUCUUUGUUUCUCACUGUCUCACACCUUGAAAAUUAAACAUACAUUUUUUUAAUUAAUGCUUUCCUAUCCUGCAGUAUUGAUACAUUACAACUAUUUUUUGAACCCCACAAUUUUUCUUGUGCUUUGACUGUGUAACCCCACGGUGGAAAUAUCCUACCUUAUUUUCCUUUAUAUAAAUAUAUAUAAUGUUUUUAUUAUCCUGCUAAAACAAAAAUGUCUCUGUUGAUUUACAGACAAUUAUACUUUGCAGAGACUGAAACCUGACCAUACUCAUAAGUUUAAGUAUCAAAUAUUAUUGAAUAAAACUCAGAUUUAAAAAUCCUUAUUGUGCUCAUGUUUAGCCUUGAAGAUUUACACAACAACGACAAUAAUAAUAAUAAUAAUAAUGAUAAUAAUAAUAAUAAUAAUAAUAAUAAUAAUGAUAGCCAUGAGUUGUUAAAGUUUGUCUUUCUGUUUAAAUUCUUUCUGUUUUUCAUCCUUUUUUUAAAAGCUGGCUCCAGCUGUGACAUUGGUUUCCACUUGAUUCAUCCAUGCUGACGACUGGGUGGGAGAUUAAACACUUGACAAGUUUGUGAAAACAGCAUGGCUCUGUGAAGUUCUGUGUGAGAGAGAAUGUUCAUCUGUGUGCAGGCUGCAUGAUCAGAUCUGCCCUUUUUGAAUACACCGUCCAUCAGUUGUUUUGAGCACGAGCUGUGAAGACUUAAGCUGUUGAGACUUCUUUCUGGUGUGUGUGUGUGUGUGUGUGUGUGUGUGUGUGUGUGUGUGUGUGUGUGUGCAGCUCCACAAGAAUUACACACUAAACACAAAGAGGCAAAUAUGAGUCAGCAAGAGGAGGUAUUUUAUCCAAAUGCACUAAAAACAUGAUAGAUGAAGAAUGAAGAAAAUUUGUUGAACAUUUUAAAUAAAGGCAUAAACUUAUGAAAAUUAAACAUACAUUUUUUUAAUUAAUGCUUUCCUAUCCUGCAGUAUUGAUACAUUGACUAUGUGAGUGAGGGAGAAGCACCGGGAGUUCUACGGUGUGUGAUGUGUGAUAGGGAGUCAUUUCUCCCAGGCAGUUGCAUGUUAACCUUUCUUUUGCCCCUUUAGAAAUCAUAAAUCACAAAAACCACUAUGACCACAGUGCUGCACUCGAUUUACAGACAAUUAUACUUUGCAGAGACUGAAACCUGACCAUACUCAUAAGUUUAAGUAUCAAAUAUUAUUGAAUAAAACUCAGAUUUAAAAAUCCUUAUUGUGCUCAUGUUUAGCCUUGAAGAUUUACACAACAACGACAAUAAUAAUAAUAAUAAUAAUGAUAAUAAUAAUGUCACAUGCUUUACCAGGGAAUUUAUUCAAAUAAGUAUUUAAAACAGACUGGACCGUCUUUACAUUGGUAGAGCAGAUCUCAGUUGUGCAUGCUGCUAUCAGGCAAAGUUAAGCAUUGGAAAAGUAAGUUCUAAUUAUGCAAAUGUUGGCAUAAAUCACAGCAUUUAAACCAUCAAAAUGGUUUCGUAAUUAAGAAUAAACAUGCAGGCAACUGGAGGCCAGACCCCCCUGCAAGACCAGCAGUCCAGUUGUUGUGCAAUAUUGCAAGUGCUGCCUCUCUUUAUUUUCACACUUCAUACCAGCACUAAGUUUAAUGAAAAUCAGGAUGGCAGUUUUUUCUUCAUUACACUGCAGACCAGAUGAUGAAAAAUACUGUGACGAAACAAAAUAGCUUUGUGUAACAAAGAAAGACUCUCUCCUUACUUUCUUUAUAGUUGCGAGUACAAAUAGAAUUUUAUGCACUGAUAAAGUUCGCCAAAGUGUGUUAAGUACAACAUUAGUAAAUUAAAAUCACCACGGUGUGUAACAGAAUUUUGAUGAACCAAAACUUAUUUUUUUCAUGGAAAAAUACAGAUUUUACUUUGAUUCUGAGGUAAAAGGUUCCUUGGCCUUGUGAUGGCAGCCUGAGGAUCAGAUCACUCAGUUCACUCCUGCUGUCACUUAAUACCAGAUCCGUGUGCUGAUAACUCAUAAAGAUCUUCUUUUCCCUGAUACUAAGGCAAAGUUUGUAAUGACGAGUGAUAUCCUCCUCUGGACAGAUUUUUUUUUUUACCUGCAGUCAUAUUGCAAAAGAAGAUCACAUCAAUGCUUUAACUCUCAUUGUUAAACAACAUUCAGUAUUGCGAUCUUUUAGAGAACUCACACUUUGUGCCAAGCGUUAACGCUGAUGUUUCUUUUUUUUUAAUUACAGUCAAAUUUAUAGAUGCAAAGAAACUAUCCAAGUUGUUUUUAAUUUAUUAUUGUUAUUUUUUUGUGAUUCCCAAUAGCACCUGAGAUACAAAACCAACAAUGCACUAUGUGAUGUUUGCAUCCUUUCAUGGUCAUCUUAUGAUGCUGAUGUCUCUAUUUUUAUCAGAGAGUAAAGUCAAAUUAACAAAAAAUUGCAGCUUCUUUGCGCCCCACACCAACAUAACUGUACAUGUUUUUUCUACCGCCUGAUGAAAAAUUGAAGGAGGGCAUGGUGAUGCAGAGAUGAGGAGGUCAUUUCUUUACGCGACAUACCGGAGUCAUUUCAGUUAUAGAUGUAGCCCAUGUUGUGGAAAUUAGCAUUAUCUGCUGGUGUCUUUAAUUGACUGCAGAAACUCAGAACAUGAUGCUAAUGAUUUCUUGAUAAAGGCGGCACUGUACUAUGCGAGCUGACCGACAGCUAGGGCAGCUACAGCGGCCUGAAUUAAUCUGCCUAAGUGAAGUCCCUCCAUUUAUCACACAGUCCUUACGAUCCAUAGGGAGUGUCAUGGUGUCAGAUGGAGCAGAAGUGCAUGGGCCAACUCAUACAUUACAGUGUGUGUGUGUGUGUGUGUGUGUGUGUGUGUGUGUGUGUGUGUGUGUUUGUGUGUGUGUGUGCGUGGUGUUUAUGUUAAUGUCCGUGUUGUGCUUUGCAGAGAGGCUGCCCAGCAACAGAGGGGAUAGGAAAGGAGCCAAAAACUAUAAAAAGACGUGAAUAACAGCAGCUGACUGAGCAUUUAGAAAACUACAGAUAAGGCAGACGUGAUAAUGUCUUAGUAAGUAAAGCUUUCUCAUGGCUACCUUUCAAUAUCUUUAAUAUGACUGCUGCAGGAGAUAGAGUAGGUCCCUUUGUUGAAUACAAGUGUGAUUGUAGGACUCACAUGAACCUCACAAAAAGCAGGACCUAAGUGUCCAGAGUGCUAAGGCCCUGUUUAUAAUAAGGUUGUUUCUAAUAAUUUGAUGACUGUUUUUUAAACCAUGAGAUAUAUGUGAAAGUAUCAUGAUUAUUUAAUCUUGACUAAUUUAGAGCUUCAGUGCUCUGUGAUGUAUUUUGACUUUUUUAUUCCUCAUGCAACUCCAGAGAGUGGAAAUGUAACAGAUGAUAAAAAUAAAAGAACAAUUAUUAAAAUAUAAUUAAUUUAAAAGGACAUAUUUUCAUUGUCAAUAUAGGAAAAUAAGACUGGGCCUGGAGAUCGCUGAGACGUUUGAGGAACAACUAGCUAAUCGUAGUUUAUAGUGAUGCAGCAAAGAUAAGACUGAUAUUUUGAAGGGGAGAAGAGCAUUAAUUACUCAAGUCUAUUCUCCUGGAGAGGCCAGUAGUCGCUCAUACGAUCAGUCAUAAUCCUGUAAAGGGCAUUGUUUAGUUCAUGAUGAGAGAGGUUUUAUAUUACUUUAUCUGUCUGUUACUUUCUCGCAGUUCAUCAUUUUCCCUCUCUCUGUACUUUUCUGAGUUUCUCUAAUUGGGAUGUAAUCAACAGUAAUCAACAUUUCAGCAGGAUGCAUCAAUAUGAAUACGCUGAAAUUAGCACAACAGCUGAAUUCAAUCUUUAGUCCUAAGGCGGAUUCUUGCAUUGAACGGAGUCUGCAUGAUUUGAGUCAUUUAGGUGCAUUUUGGUUGAUGUUAUCUUCCAGGCAUGUAAAACUGGUUCAUAGCCGCUAGAUACUGGCGAGGGUAAACCCAGCCCUGCAGUGUGGCAAUAAAAAUGGGUGCAUUUUAAAAGUCUAUGUUUCCUACCUGUGCUUGUGCAUGAGCAACUUUACUAUGCCAAGCCCACCUCCUCCAAUCGUAAUGUGUAGCAGGAGCAAAAUGACAAAACAAAUGAUAUUUUUAAUACUGACACAUUGAUCCACAGUGAGCCCUAACCGUAAAACCACACUGAGAAUUUAUCCCAGUGAUUUUGCCUUUAAGCUGUUUAAGGUAAUUAACUUCAUAAUAGUAAUAUUAGUAAUAGCUCACAGUAAGAGAGUAUAUUGUAUGGAAAAUGACUUAUCAGCAGCACAAGCCCCUCUUCUUCACCUCUGAUCUUCAGCCAAUACAUGCAGCUGGUGUUAAGUACUCCAAAACCUGCUGAGCUCUGACGCAGGUUUCUAAUUCAUCAACGGGGACGACAAGACUGAACAUCUACUCGUACAUCAAACUGGUUAAUCUCCUUUCACUGAGAAUGAAUCAUCAACUGAUUUAUGAAGGAGUAACAACCUAUGGUGUAACCCCUGAUCCUCGACCCAAUGAAGAUUUACAUUCACACUCACUGGCUGCAUUAAAUGAGUGAGUGUCAGGCUGGAGUUUGAACAAAGUCUGAUCAUAUAAAUACUGACAAAAUUCAGUUGCUGUGAGGUUGAUCUUCGUAUUAUGAGGUGGCUGAUAGCAGUUUGGUUGAGAGUUUAAUUUUUUGUUUGUUAGCAUACCAGUCAUCUUCAUAAACAAUCAGCCAUCUUACCAGCAUGCUAACAAGCACUUUUGACAAAAAAUCUCAUCCUGCUGACUCGGGGCAGUUAAAAAUAUCAUUAAUUGUGCGCAUUUUGUGUGAAAACUUCUUAUAGUAACUUUAACUUUUCUAAUCAUCAGAAAUAAAGGCUCUAUACUAUAAGUAGCUUUGCAUUUUUCUUCUUUUUGAGGCAAAAAGACAGAAAAGUAUUAGCUGGCUCACUUUCACUGAGAUGUGUUGUAUAUGUCUCUUGAUAAGUGGAGCAGAUGUUGUUUUUUGACGAUGUUGAUGAAUCAGAAAGUAGAAGAAAAGUGUUAAAGUAUGACAAAAUCAAAUAAUACAAGAACAAUACAAGCUUUUAGGUUACUGUUUUAAAGAGCUGUUAUUUAUUUAUUCUUGGCUAAAAAGGAGUGCUUUUCUUCUUUUUUUGCUUUUCUCAGUGCAGAUUGAUUUUUAUGUGUAUUUUUUGAGUAUGUUCAAAGCCAACAGCUUAUAAGUGAGCACAGAUGAAACAGAACUCUUUUGUUCUAGUAUUUGUAUCUUUUAGGUCUAACACAUGUUAACCUUUGUGGUCCUUACAAAAAAAAGUUCAUAUUACUUUUUACACAAAAUCUUUUUUCUUUUUUUUUAAUGAUGAAACUUUCCUAUCUCACCUGUCCCGAACCUCACUCUGCUACAUUUAGAACUACUCCAAUUUUCAAUAUUAUAUUACUUACAACAAAGUGACAGGAUAUAGUGUGUGAAAAAACUCUUUAAGUAGCCAGCUUUAUUAGAGCAUCCUUUCACUCACGCACGUGAGGAUAAAUGUACUGUCGAGAGAGCUAAAUGCAGACCCACUUUAUCAGACAGGAAGAUAAAGCACAGGCUCAUCAGUCAUACUGGUUCACCUGGUUAGAUGCCUUCAGUAAAUUAUUCAUUGUGGUAGUGUGUCUUUGUCCCUCUGUGAAAAAGAUCACUGUGAUGAAAAAGCAACAUUUAUUUUAUAUUUUUCUAUUUUCCACUUUUCUACAGUUGUUAGUGUUUAAUGGAGGCUAUACCUGUUUUGUGUUGAAUGUGACUGAACAGUUCGUGUCACAAACCUUAGGAUUUGAUGAUAAUUAGUCGUAGUACGACAACAUUGAUCUCUGAAAUGUGUGCUUUUAAGUUGUCCUGAUGUCAUACCAACUGCAGCUACGAUCCUUUUUAUUUUAUUUCAAUUUUUUUAUAUUUAUAUGAAGUAUUUAUGUUGAAUUUGACAGAAAACUCUGAGUCCCCAUGGUACUCACAGCUCUAUGCUGAGUCUGAAACAAAGUGGCCAUCCACUUUAAAAGGGCAACUGGCUAAUUCAUCUCCUCAGCUCUUAGCAGAAUGAUUAACAGAGUAGUAAAGCGGAGAAAUUUCAAAUUGUCUGGUCUAUGCUUGGUGAACUGGCAAGAGGCUGUAAGGAGACUCUUGGUUAUAAAUGGAAGAGUGUAAUUUAUCUUUGAGUACUUGUAACAGGGUCUUUAAUCACCAGCCGUCCACCUAUAUGACUCUAAGUGUCUAAAGACAUUCAUCUUCAGGGGUGCCAGGGACAUUUGUUUGAAGGAUGAAAGAUGUGUGGAUAUAAAUCAUGUAUAUUUACAUAAAAUAGUGCUGUUAGAGCUAUGGAUGUUUAUUGUUUCUGUAUCAGUAAUUCUUUUUAUGAGUAAUGAGUAAUUUUGUCUAAUUAUAGGUUAUUAAAUCCUUGUUUUCUUCACACUCCAAAGAGGGGAAAUCAUUACUCUGAAACUGGAUUGGAUUAUUGUGAUUUUAUAUAUUUAUUUUUUUGUGGACUACAAAAGUAAUAUUUAUAUUAUAUACUCUUUAUAGCAUUUUCACCUGGGAAACAAGCACAACAACACAUUUUAACAUGUAAUAAUUAUGGAUCACAUGUUUUGUGUAUGUACGUAUAUGCUUGAAACAAUGCUAGCAUUACAGUAAAGAGCAUACAUGUGCUCUGAAGUGCAAAUUUAUAUGAAGUCUUCAGUAUCAAAUGAAUGAAUUUUUGAAGAGUGAUUAAAUUCACCUCUAUAAUCCAUUUUUGUUCAUUUGAUCUCAAACACAUCUCACUUUAAAAAAAAAAAAGAAGAAAAUACUGAGUUUGAAUUUUACAGAGUAUUAUCUGCCUCUCAUGUAAGUGUGUGCCAACAUCCUUCUUCCUCAUCUUUUCCACAUAAAGCCAAAAGCUCUGGGGAGCAGGUCUGAUUGUGUGUUGUACAGCCAGCAGUGUAAAGAGCUUUUAUUCAUGCAGGGAAGCAGAACUUCAAAGUCAAACAUUUUGCUUUAAUCUGUUUACAUCAGGCAGACGGGAUCCAUCAUGACUAAACAAAGCCUGGUCAAAUCAAAGUGACCCCGCAUUAUUCUUCUUAAAAGCUGCUGUAAAGACGUGAAUUGUGUUUAUUUCAGUUACAGCCUCAGGAAUUUUAACUGACCUUGGCACUGAUUGUAACUGAUAUCAAAAGGACUCGUUUUUAAAAUGUGCAGGUUUAGCUUCAUGAGGCCAAAGUGAGCUCAUGAGACGCAAUUAGAUAAGAGUAAAAGUUCAUGUGACGGAGGGAAUAACCAAAAUAGUUUAAUGCACUGUGGGAUUUUAUAUUUAAUAUGAUGCUGUAUGUACAAAACAAAUAUCUGACAGUAACUUUUUUGACCAUGAGAGAAAUUUUUGCUGUUUGAAAUAUGCAUGCUUCAUUUAUCAUCAUAUUUAUUGUCAAAAGUAACUCAGUGUGUGUUCAUUCAUUCAGUCGGUAUUACAUGCAGUAAAGUAUGCAGUCCCCAGUAUAAUGUCACUACUACCUUUCUAAAGUGAAAUCAUGGUACCGGGUCAAAAGGUGCUUAUAAACAAGUGUGAAAUGUGUCAUGAGAGCACAACUUUCAGGUCUUGCAGGAACCUGACAUCUGGCAGCAUGAUGAGUCAGAAUCUGAGCAGCUGGACAUGAGAGUGUGCAGCUCAAAAAAAAAAACAAAGAAAGAGCCAGCACACAUCUCAGUUUAACCGCCUUUAUGUCUGCAAACUACAGCCAGUAAGAUACAGCCUUCAAGCCCUUGAUACUGACCUGUGCAGUUCUGUUGAGGUUCUAGUGUCCCCAACGGCUGUCCUAGCCCUGAUAUGUAUGUGUGGUCAUGAGGACUACAGGCUGCAGAGGCUGGGAGCGGUAGAGCUGUUUGCCAGAUUGGUUGGAAGAUAAGAAGUGAAAACCCGAGGCCUUCAAAGCCUGUAGGUCCCCACAGUCACAUAAGAUUCAUUCUGUGUACAAGUGGUAUCUCUGCAGCCGAAGUCAUAUAGUCAAAAGGCCAUAGAGAAGUGGUGUUGGUAUGUACAGUAUGUGGUUGUGUAUUUUAAGACACAUCAAAUAAAUCAAAUCAGGAAUCAGAUAAGAAAAUGUGUCAUCUACACUUCUCUGUUUUUAAUACUGAUAUUAUUGCUUAAUUUCAACAUGCUACAAUCACAUGUUCUGCAUGUGUAACCUCAGACACAUUUUAAUGUUCAGAUCAGCUUAGAGUUAGGCAAUAUGACAAAGCUGGGACUUGGCAAAGACCCCAUAAUGUGAUGCAUAUCAUGAUCAAGGUCAUGCUAUGAAAUAUGAUCAUCUAUAAAUUCAAACUGAAUCAAAAUAUCUAUAUUAUAUAUCUUCAAAUGCCACCAUUUACAGCAGCCAGCUUGACUGUUUUCUUCACAGCUCUGAUGUUAAUUUUGUCUGCGGCACCAUACGAUAUGUACAAAACUGAGUGUCCUUAUAUUUCUGUUGUUAUGCUGACUUAAAAGGGUCAUAUAACUUGAAAUAAGCUUGAAUGUCUAUCGGCGUUAGUCCGGAGUGGUUGUCCUUAUCAAAAAUAGAAUAGAAGAACAACAUGUGACAUUUGUUCUAUAGCAAAUGUAGUGCCGUUGAUGUUCACCACAGAACGAUCCCUCGGGAUAACAUAUGGUAGUAUGUGAUGAAUAAAUAGAAGAUCAGAGGGUUUCUCUUUUUGUUCUUUACCUUAAUGCCAUUUCUCUCCGUAUAAGUCUGCCUAUGUGACCCAAGUGUCAAAGAAAAAAGAGAACGAGGACAUCAUCUCCGGAUUGUGACUUAAAGGGUGUAUAUUUAGACAAAAUCAUAGACCUUUGUUUUUACCCAUGCUGCUUUGUAGAGUGCGUGUGUGUGUGUGUGUGUGUGUGUGUGUGUGUGUGUGUGUGUGUGUGUGUCCUGUGUCAACAGCCUUUCUGGAAACUAAAGCAGGAAGCGGCACCAUGUUUAACCGUGUACGCAGAUGUUGAAUUAAACACAAGUGUGUUGUGAAAAAACACACAUUAACAUUUGCCAUGCUGCUUUUUGUCUAGACUUUUUUAAUGUUUGUAAAGGUAAUGAUGAAAUUAGAAUAUAAACAUAAUAUUUAUUAGAUUAGAUUUAAUGUUUAAUGUCAGCUGGAUAGAUGAGUUGUUUCCAGUGUGCAUCAAUUGAGAUUUCAGGUCAAACAUCAAUGCCGUUACUCUCUGGUAACAAGUGAUAUGAGUUUUAUUAAAUAUGCACUGCUAAUAUUAUCCCACGCAAUUAGUGACAGGUGACUUCAAGAAAGAUUAUUACUUAUUUGACUCUUUACCAGGAGAAAGGCAGAGCAACAGCAGCAGCAUGUAUCACUGGAUAAGGGGAGACUCUUUCCAGAAAAUCUGCUCUUUUAAAGUUCAAUCUUUUUAAAUUCUUUGAGAAAAUACAAAACAACAGAAAGUAAAGUAGGAAAAGUAGCAUAAAAGUCGAAUGUCUGCUAUAUAAAUAGAGCUGGAAGCCAGUAAAACCCGCAACAUGCUCCAGAUUGUAAUGCAUCUGCUUGUUAUGACUCAGUAGUGCCGUUUAUAGAUCAUUACCCAAAGCACUGCAUACUGACAUCAACAGUAUGACCCCUGCUUUGUCUUAUGCCCAGAUUUGUGACGAAUGCUAAGCUCAGUAUAUUAAAGACUGUCUUUACACCUGUAGAAAACACAGGAUAACUUUAGGAGCGUUAAUAACUUCAAGUUGUUCAAGUUAGGUAUUUUGUAAUGUUACUUCCCUACAGUCCUGCAAAACACACAUUUUAUUUAUGGGCAAUAAAAGCUGAUAGUUAAUUUUGUGUUUUGUUCGAGCCUGUUGUGUUUUAUUUGCUCACACCAGGCCUAUAACCCACUUUAUGAUGCCACCUGAGCACCGCUCACAGCGUUUCCUUUAUCGUGAUCCUGCAUUUAUAAAAGCUCUGCAUGUUUUUGAGUUCUUUUCAUGCAUCCUUACAGUGUUUUUCUUUGUCAUUUCAGCUAAAGGGGAUGCUGAGUCACUUUGGGAUCCUGACAUCAUCAUCAUGAGACGGGGAGGCUGGUGAGCGGUGACCUAAGGCAGCGGUGGGAGGCGGUGCCUUUGUAUGUGGUUGGCGGUGCCUUUGGCUGCUGGUUCUUGGCAAAAAAAAAAAAGUCACCCCUGUGGAGUUGUUUCAGCAACUUAUUUGCCAAAUAUCGGGAGAAAAAGAAGUCUGAGGACAGAUUUUUAUUGUCACAAUGCCCCAAAUGAGCAUAAAGCACCUGCAGAGGGUUGGUGGCAGGGUUGAGGUUUUGUUGGCUUUCCAAACUGUUUUCCAGCUUGUGGGCUGAUUCAGAUGCAAAAUCUUGACAUACACUGAAGUUUUGCUGACGGUGUUUAAAUCCCAGCCAGCUAGGCACACAGCAAAAACAUACAUCUACUACUUCCUCUAAAGUCUUAGUGGAGUUAUUAAUAGAAGCUAAGUUAAUUUCUUCACCAUGAGGCAAGUUGGAAAACUACCAGAAGGUGCUGAUGUGGAACUUUUCCUCCUCAGACCAUAAAACUUUGUUUUUAAAGAUGAUUUCAUAACAAUUGAAGCUUUUAUAAUUUUUUUUUCUUAUGAUUAUUAGGCAUGUGUAGAUGAGUUGAAAAAGGAACAUAAAAGACAGGAUGACACAGCAAUCUUUAUUUCUUUAUACUGUGUAUUUUUAACUCACAUUUAUUCUCCUGGAUCGCCAUUUCUCUCAAAGUUUGACUGUUCUGUUUUAAUAUUUGGAGAAAUCAUCAGUAAAGAUUUUUUUAACUUGCUGUGACGGUUGUGUAAUUUGUGUGAUUAUGACAGAGGUUGACUUUGAAUAUGGGCAGUGUUUAUAUGAAGCAAGGUUAUAAAUAAAUAGUUAUAUGUGUUUCAUAAAAGUGCAUUUACUAGCUGUUUAAGGUAGUUUUGUGGUAGUAAAGAGACGCUUCACUUAUCAUCAGAAAGCAGCAAAAUCACAUCGUCUUUAUAAGAGAUAUUGCAGCCUGUGUGGUGUUUACUGAAACAGCUUCGUCUCACAUGGUCUGAGUUAAGAGCUCCAGUGAUUCAUGUACUCCCUGGCAAAAACUGGGUUUUCCUCAAAGCCUGGAGACAGCUUGCUCUGGUGAGACAGCGGGACAUAAAAGCUGUGAAGGUUCUCUUGUAUAUCUGCACCCAUAGCCAGGGGUAUAGUCUCCUCAUUGUCCAUUGUGGGUCAAGUCGACACAAAAGGGUGAUCACACUGCCAUCCCUGCAGCUGUACAUGUCUCUUUGUACAAGUUGCACUGGUAUGAGUUUGAUGCAGAGAUCCACAAACUCUAAAGGCUGCUCAUUUUGAGGUAGCCUUUAGCCUCUAGAUAUUCAGGAAAAACAAACAACUAAGAGUAAAGAUGUGAAAUGUUGUUCAAAUGCAUACAUCUUAAUUAUACCAGCUGAAUUUUGUUUUUAAAUGUAAAACUCACAAACCUCACAGAAUUCCAGUCGAAAAUACUCUGAAUUUCCCAGACAGUUUAAGUAUUUUCCAAGAUAUCCUUAUGGAUAAGUGACACUGUGAGUGGGUGGUAUAUAAAAUAUUGACAAAGCAACUUUCACUUGACUUUCUCUCUUAAUUUGACACAUUUGAUCAGAUUGUCCCUGGCCUUACUACUCCUGUUAAGAAUCACUUACCUUUUUUAUGAGGUGUAACCCAUCAGAACCUAUUGUUUAACACAGUGGGGUAAUAAGAUACAACAUAUAACACAAUGUAAAUAACAGAAUUGCUUCAUUAAGAUUCCACUCUCACUCAAAGAGUUUUAUCUCCACAGUGUUUUGAAACUCUUUGUAGUUGUCGGUUUAUCAGUCGAGUGAAUUCUUUGACCCUCAGGUUGCUGAAUUUUAACACAGUUAUCAGAGAGAAUAUGCAUCCACUGGGUAAAAAUUACCUUUCCAACAAAAUAUUUUUCUUCCAAAAAUAGUGAUGUUCUGUUUGUCCUGAGAUGAACUGAAUAUUUCACUUUACUAAGAAGAAGUGUUUGAUCUCCUGAGGACCAAACACAUCAGACACAAAGAGAUGCUUUCUGUAAAGCAGUCAUUUAUGUCUCUGCAGGCACAGCUAUUUCUGUCGGCAGAGGGAGUGAACUAGAAUCAAAGUCUCCAUGUUGGCCUCAUCAGUCUCUACGAACCCAUCCACACAAACCUAAAUCUGAUAUCCUUAAUUGUUUGCCUCACACCUAUAUUAAGUUUAAUUGUCAAACACGGAAAACUAUCCCUACAUAAAACUUUGACCUUGUGUGACAUGUUUGAUCAAAAAAAGGAUUUGGUUAUCCUUUUAGGACACAAUAUUGUUAGUUUGAAAGGGUUUGAAAUAUUAGCUUUCUAAAUAAAUAAAUAAAUAAAUAUUGUGUCCAAAAAGGAUAACCAAAUCCUUUUUUUGAUCAAACAUGUCACACAAGGUCCAAGUUUUAUGUAGGGAUAGUUUUUAGUGUUUGAUCAAAAAAAGGAUUUGGUGAUCCCUUUAGGACACAAUAUUGUUAAAGGGUUUGAAAUGUUAGCUUUCUAAAUAAAUAAAUAUUGUGGCAAAAACCUGAACUUCAACCAUCUCUGAAAAGGAAAAUUUGAACAAUAUCCAGUCCUGCAAUCCAGGCAGUGGUAGCAGAGCUGUUGAGAGCAUUUUUGAUUUAUUGACCUUUAGCAACUAUGUUAAAGUUUGGGUAUUGCUUAAUUCAUAAAGUGGUUAUCACAUGUUUUGCAAUUUCCCAACAAGAGUACUGGAAAAAAUCUGUUUUCUUGUGACUGUUUUUUUAUGACAGGUGACUUCAUCAGUUGAUUGCUGAGAUUAGCUGAACUUUGUCCCCUAAAAUAAGGAUGGGCAGAGGAGCAGACUUAAAGUUUAGUGUUCUCGGUGUUCUUUUUUUUUUUUUUAUCACAUUCCUUUUGAUAUAGUUAUGGUGCAAUUGGAAAUGCCAAGCUAGGAAUAAGAGCUCAAAAUUAGCAAUGGCUUCACACUCACCUGAUGUGACGUACAUGAGUUUCACUUUCUGAAUCUGAUCUAUUUUACAUUUUUACUUAUAUUAUUAACUCCAAUAAGGAUGAGGUGAGUUCAUCAUUUUUAUACCAGCCCGGAUUAAACAAGCGUCUCUCUAGCUGUAGUGUUGUGAAAGUGUAAUUGAGGCUGUUUCGCUUCUGACCACACCCUGCAGACUUUCAACUCUCAUAUAGAAAGUGCUAAUACCUCGUUUUUCAUCUGAUGUUGGAUGAGCAGUUGGACAUUUUAAAAAUAUUAUUUACAUGCUGGUGAUCUUAGAUAAGCUUAAAGACUGAAAACAAUUGGUAAUUUCAGGACAGCUUAUUGCAUCUAAAUGUCAAAGAAUAAAAUUAAAACCAGCACACUACCAUCUUUAAAGCUCAAACAAUAACCACAGAGAAAACUUUAAGUCUCAAAAUAAAUUCAUUUUCAUCAUCAAAGUACUCCAAAUACAGUUGUUUCUGCUGUGUGAAGAAUAACUACCAGUCACUUUUUUUUAAAGACUCCUUUUUUUCUGGCCUUGGUUUUGCAAUAUUCUGAGGUAGACAUCAGGUAUGUGGCAAAAGUAUAAUUGUAGCUGUCCUAAGUUUUUACCGUGGGUUUAAGGAAGAGCCUCACUAUAUGUCAGGAAAUAUCCGUCUUCUCUUUCGCAGUUAAGAAUCGUCCUGCAGGCUCACACAUCAAUGCAUUGUGCCAAAAGGCCAAUGAUAUGUAAGGAAUCAGUCGAAUGUGGUUGGGAGUUAUUGUGUCCCGACCACUGAAAGAAUUAUCCCAUAGC